rnacentral:lncRNA from 1 species
AGGACUACCACUUUCUACUGGCUCUGCUCUGUCAACUCAUUCAGUAAUUCCCACUUCUGAGGUUGUCUCUGACUUCCGACUUCCUCGAAUAGUCUCUGUGAACUCAGGCUCUACCGCGCUACUACCUUAGUCGUACUUACUUGCUUCAUUAAGACCUCUGGGUACAACUAUGACUUGGUUCCAUUCUUACCUUGCAACGGGAUAGGAUAGGAUAGGACUGAACUUAGGAUGAAACUCAGUAUUCCACUAAUUCCCGUUUUUAGCUCGCUACCGCUACACAUUAGCAGUUCCUUGGUGCACUUAUCUCUUUCGAAACUAAAUCCUAUAUGAGAGAAUAUAUAAUUAAGUAGGCUUUCCUCUACUUUGUCUGUACUGAAAAGGGCCAAGCAACUUCUAAUGACCGCCAAGGCACUGGGCAAGUAACUACUAACGUUACGCGGCAGCAAUAAGAAGUAUGUUAUGACGUAGUUAUAACAAUUCCUUUGUUCGGGUGCCGCGGCAGGAGCUCUUGGACUAAUGUUACGCGGUAGCGAGUUCCAAGCGGCAGCCUUCGAGUUGUUUUCUGCUUUUUUUUCAUAUUUCUCAUUGAUUGUUUUUGCAAUACCCGACCCGACCUCUAAUCUCAUGUUUGAGCACCUGACCCGACAGCAGCUUACUUAAGCCCUUCCCUACUUUCAAACUGACACUCUUUUCUUGUAUCCUUGCUUAUUAGCUAGUAGGGCCUGCCUUGCCUAUCCGUACUCUUAGCUGGUAACUCCCGCCUUCUAGUGUUUAGCUACUGAUUCGGAUUCUUUAACCGGGACAUCCUUCUUACCAUUGACAUAUAACAUUAUGAGCCUACCCUCGCUAUUAGGAUCCAGCUAGCGCUAACAAUCCUUAUCCAACCAACCUGGGCUGCUUCACUGCCCCGGAAACAACUCUUGCUUGACUUUAUCUCCACCUUUGUCCUCUUGCUUUCAUUCCGUACAUCGAGUUGGAUUUUGACUAUUGGUGCUUUUAGUACGACUUUUGGUAUUCUGUUUACUUAUAUUUACUCUUCUAUGUUACUUAUGUGUUUUCAUAACACUGCUAAUGAGGCUUAGGGCAUACAAGGACAGAGCUAUUGCUGGAAAGAAUCAAACAAGUAAGUCCAAGAAUCAAAGCAGUAAGUCCAAGGCUACAGCUACAUUCCCAAAGACUUCAACCGGGUAGCCAAAGAGCGGAGCUGCUAAGUGAUAGACUGAAACAAGUGAGUUACAGAACCAAACCACUGCCGUUUAGCUCGCUACCGUUUUAGCUCAGGCUCCUCCGCGCCACGUUAGUAGUGGCUUGGUCAUGAGUAGUUGCUUGGUGGCUAUCCGACCUCUCCUCUUGAAACUGCCAAGCUACUACUUAGUGCUUAGUUGGAGGCUUGUCUCCUUUAUUACCAAGUCCUGUGUUCGUGAGCUAGCUAGUUAUUUGAGAAUUGAAAACAUAGCUAUUGAGUUUAGGUCUUGGUACUGAGAUAAGAUACUCUGGAUAAGGUUCAGAAGCAGAAGACUAAGUUGCAAAGAAAGGUGUUGUCGGUGAAGAAAGUGUAGUUGAGUGCUAAAGUAUAGAGUAAGGGGAGCUGUACCCGGAAUAGUAGAAUCCAUGUGUUAACUGCCUUUGAUGCGAGGUAGCUUCUAGCUAUAGUUUAGGAGUGGAGUAAGAGUGCCCACGCCUUUGUCUUGCAUGCAAGUGCUUUAAAUAGCUUGCUUCUAACACGGUCCUAUGUCCUUAUUGAAUUUAGUAGUACUGGCUUUGAAGCCCUAAGUGGUAUAUUGGUUCACUUGUAUAUAAUGUUACGCGGCAGUGAGCUUUUUGAAUGUCAUUUCCACUAUGAAACUAUACACACACUUAAGAAACCCUUACUCAUUAUAUAUUCUCUUUAGAAAGGAAAGGAUAACUGCUUCAUCUCGGCACCCCGACCCCUAAUAGAUUGAUUCGAUAGACCCCUUCUUCUUCAGAAGAAUCAAAAGAAUAAGAUGGAUCCGGUGUGGUCCAAGCAGAAAAGUAGUUCGAUUUCUCAUAUACUAACUCAGUACUAGUUAAGUAGCAAAAAACAUAGGAGAAUUUUCUCUCUCUUUAUAUAUGAAACCACUUCAGAAAGGAGAGUUGACAGUUGAGGUCUGUUAUUCAAGUCUAGUUCAAUUGUUUAGUCAGUGUAGCGGCAGGAGUCCCCGCACAAAGAUCAGAUAAAUGGGUCGGUCUAUUAGCGAAACACUUAGCUGGUUCUCUUGCCCAGUUACUUGGCGCUAUAUAAAUUCUAUCUGUUCUUAUAUAGGAGGAUGUGACCUGGCAAUCUGAAUGCAGUUAUAGGAGCAGAGUCAGAAGAGACCAGGCAGACAGGUUAUAAGUAGGUAGUCAGCUAAAAGCACUAGGUAGGCGAGAGGGAGAGUUAGUUCGGGUGUGAAGUCCAAUAACAUCCCUAUUCUCAGUACAAAAUAACAUCCCUAUUCUCUGUACCCCUAUUAGUAUUGACUGAGUUCAUGGUCGCUCUAAGACUGAGUUACUGGCCCACUCUACUCGAUGUGUUUGUGUCUCGCAUGUGUGUUGUGUGCCAUACUAGGGUUUGGUUUCAAUCAAUGGGUUUGUUGUGUGCCAGUAGGGGGUGCCUAUACUUACAAGUCAGAAUGAAACUAUUUAAUAGUAAAUACAGAAACAACUCCAAAAAGUAAUAGAAUGAAACAAAGUAGCCAAAGAGCGGAACUAGUGGGUAUAAGCUUCAAGCCAGGGGGCAGCUAGUAAGUAAAGGAAUGGAAGCAGUAGCUGGGAGAUAGAGCCAAGCCAGAGUGAAAAGACUAAGAGAAUGAGUUGGCGUGGGAAAGAAUGGAAUUUGCAGGGUUGAGAUAAGAUCUGAUGCUGCCGAGUGGGGGUUAUCCACUCCUAAUAGCUAGACACACUCUCUUUUCAGAAGCACCAAAAGAAACUCCCCUUUAUGAAUCGACUGACGACUUAAUAUAAGGGCAGCUCUCCCCCCAAAGGUUAGGCACGCUUACCAGGCACCAGUUGAUCUUACGAAAGAUCCAAUUAGGUUUUGACUCAUUGCUUCACACAAGUCAACCUUUCAUUCCUGAUAUAUAUGAAAAAGAUAGAGAUUCGGCAGCAUAGGUUCUACUACUUGCUUAAUUGACUACAAGUUAUCUAUUGACUAAUUGCUUCACACAUGGGUUAUACUACGGAGUGAAAUCAGUAGUUGAGAGUUUAGGCAGUAGAUCCCCUUAAGAGUUGAAUCCUUGUUUGUUGACGUUGAAUGCCCAGUUCCUGUUCUGGUGAUUGUUAAAUACCUUGUUUCAUAUCUAUAGCUUCAUCUGUUCUCUUAUAUAAGUCAGUUAGUGCUUAAGAAUCGGGAAUAGAAGAGAAGAGAAGUUUUAUAAGUAGCUGGGCCCUAGCUGCCCUGGUUAAGUCUAGUAGGGGCUUGGCUGUUGCAUCUAACACUAAGAUCAGAAUUGACCUCAGCAGUGCCUUAUUAGAAUUUCUUCAAGCAGUGCUAGUAAGCCUACCAAUCAGCAGUUACAGAAUUGCACUCCUUCUUUUGAGUCCUGUGUUCGGGGACCCAUGUGUUUCGUUAAAGAAUUCAUUUGAUCUAUCUCUCGCCUGACAAGGAACUACUGGGUCGAUAGAGUGGAAAGGAAAGUUCAAGUUGUUGACGACGAGCGGUGCGGGUGUCAAUUCCAAUAAUGAAUAUAUCAUAAUAAUAGAUGUGGUUUCAGACAAAAGUCAAAGGAGUGGUUAGUUGAAAGAGCAAGAUCAGAGGGAUAGGGGCAAGGCAAGUAGUAAAGGUAUCAACUCUAUGAUAUCAAGUACUUAAGGUAUUAAUUCUCCGAGUGGAUGCCCCAGUUGCAUUCUUGCCCUUACGUAUAUUACUGUCUGCGAGUUGCCAGUUUCCAUAGGUAGAAGAGAUGCUCUAGUCCAGAGGAUAGAUAGGGAAGGAAAUCAAUCAAUAAAUCAAUCCGAGGAAUGGAACUCCCCGAACUGCUGCCGCUACACAGUAGUAGUUCCUUGGCCCGCAUCUAGUAUACGCUUGCUUUCUUAUCUUUAGGAGUCCUGUGCCACUUAUAUAUCUGCCACUUUCGAGCAACACCACCUAGGGCUGCUAAUUCUCUUGUAGGCUUGAUUGGCGGGUUUAGUCUGAAGUUGCUAAGUAGUAGGCUUGGCGGGUAGAGCAGCCUUUUUUCACUCCUAUACGAGUGCUCCUAUACGAGUGGUCGGCUUUUCGCCCUUAUAUUAAGUGCUUGGCAGAAAAUCAAUGACGAGUGGUCGGCUUUUCUACUUACUUGGCAGAAAAUCAAUGAUCAAAUUCGAAAGAAAUGCAAAAAACACGAAAGAGCCAAGCAACUAAGUAAGACGGCCAAGUCACUGCUAGGUUAAUGCUUUACGGAACAAGCAACAACAUCAGCAGUAGAAAGGUGUUCUGUUCGGGUUGAAAGAUCAGGAUCCUUAUAAGAAGUCGCAGAAAGAUCAGGUAAAGCUGUAAUCGACGAAGCGGGAUAGGAAAGUAACGUUUGAGCGGAAUCAUAUCUCACUUUGACUUACUUUGAAGCAUAAGCUGUAUCAUAAGUAGUAAAAGGGAAGGAAGCUGGAUAAGGGUUAGGAAGAAAUUGAUGUUUGACUCGGUCCUCGGCGCACUACAGGAAAGAUUCCUUAGUUUGCUGGGAUUCGCUUACAUAGGUACUUCUCGAUAUUAGGAAGGGGAAUCCAUUUCUUUUAAGGAAGUACUAAACUCGUGUACGGGAAUCGAAGUGAUUAGAACAGAACAGAGCGCGAAUGAAGAAGCACAGACGCUAUUCGUGGACAGAACAACGGGGAAAGAUGGAGGAAUGGUUUACCGACUGUAUCCUUUACAUUCAUUUAUUGCAUACCGUCUUGCUCCUGUUUACCUUACUAUUAGCUGUACAUCUGUUAGCUUUCCUUCUUUCCGAAUGGUUUAUAGUGCAAUUCCCUGCUAUGCUCAAUCAUAGGUUUUUACGAAAUAGUUGUCUGUCUUUUCCUGUACUUAGGUUUAUACGAAAUUCCAUAGUUGUCUUUUUUUCCUGUACGCCGAUGACUUUUUAAUGAAGAAGGGGGCCUGGCCUUGACUACUAUUAAAUGAGGAAGGGCUUGACUACUAUUUCAUAAAGAAAAGGGGGACUGUUCACAUAUUCUACUGGUUUAGCUUACUCACGACUUGAAGAAUGAAUAUCGGAGCCUCACCUCUGAUCGCAUCACCCUUUCACAUAAAGAAUUCCAAUCAUGCGUAUCAAGCACUUGGCAUCGCCAGUAGUAAAGACACUGCACUGAACAAGUGCCUUUCUUUGAAAUCUGACCGGCACUGAUUCUGAUCCCGCUUAUGGAACAAGUAUUGAAACGGACCUUACCGCGGACUUUCGCACUGCAGAUUAUAUACUUGAAAGAACGAAUUGAUGCUGCCCGAGUUGUUUCAUUGAGUGCACUGAUCAUAUAAAGAAGUCACAGCACUCCUUACAUUAAGAACAGAACAAAUAGGCCCGAACUGAUUCACUUUCUUACCCUUAAGCAACACAGUAACCUCCUUUUCCAUUACUUGUUUAUGGCUUAGAGCCAACAACACCCUUUCUGUUAGCGGGUGAAACCUCGGAUUCCUCUUCCGCUAGAAUGACUUUCUAUAUAGAAAUACCCCUAUUCCCUUCUUGUAAAGUCAACUAAUCAUUCAUUGAAUCUAGAGUUUCGAGCACUUUGCAUAGAAGCUAGUAUCGACACUGAGAAAGUGCUUUCUUCGUUGGGAGCUGCACCUCUAAGCUCUAAAACGGGUUCUGCUCCAUCAGUAGACUCUAAUGUUCUCUCUGCUGACUCUAAAGAAUAUGCACCUCAUAUGAUAGAAAUGGGUAAACUAACUCCAUUACUUCCCGGAAGUGUGAGAAUACCGGCACCCCCAAGAGAAGAGAUCAAGUUGAAGCGUUAGCACCCGACCCUAUUGCUCCCUUACUAGAUUGCUCAUGGAAAGUGGAUCAAGAGAAGCGGUUUCGUCUAAAGGAAGGUGGUGUCCAAGCCUAAUACUAUAAAUAAGGGGUGAAAGCUCCUUACGUGGUCCAAGCAAGCUGAACUAAUUAACACACACACAACCACCUCCUGGCUCAUAACUCUAACACACACCCAUCUCCUCUCCUGGCUCUAAACUAAACCUUCUCUUUUGCCUUCCGUCCCAACUCUAUAAAUGUGCUAAGUACAGUACAGAAUACAAGUGGAGCUAGAGCAAACAUGUAUUUCUUAUUUCAAAGCUCCGAGCCCCGCCCGAACCAAUAAAUAGCGUUAGUAGUCACUCUGCAUCUGUCUUUAGAGUAUGGGGUUCCUCUGCCUUUCGUGAGUAAUCUAUAAUAUAGGAUGAACUAGUGGAGUUAUUAAGCAAAGCCCUUUGUUGACUCUUUUCUCACAUUUGUGACUCGGAUCUAUACUAUCAAGCUAAAUGAAAAUGAAUGGACCAAGCAGACGCCAAGUAACGUAGUUAGGCUAAAACUCAUAAUGUUAGUUAGUUCGGUGCCCUUAUGGAGUCCACCAAGCUUAGUAUAGACAAGUAACGUAGUUAGGCCAAACAACUAUGCAAGAUGACAGCUCGCUUAUAAUAGUACUUAAAGCGAUCGAUGAGCUAAACAGAGGAUCCCUAGUUGCUACGAAACAUAACAGGAACAUUACUAAUACUGAAAGACUUCAAUCGAUGAACUCCUUGCUGCAUCGAUGCUCGAGGAAGGAAGAGCGGGAUGAGUGCCAACUAAAACGACUAAUGCUAAUGGAAGCCACUUUCUUGCUCCUGCAACUCUCGAACUAGAGGAAGGAAAGCGCUAUACCCACCCUCGUUCGAGGAAUAGCAUAUCAGGUUCGUUUGGGAAAUCGGGAUUAUCGGGGAGCUUACCUGAUAGGGGAUUCGAUUCAUAUCUAUCACUGACUUCAGACCAACUCGCCGCUAUUCCUAAAGUGUUUGUUAAAGCAGAUCAGGGAAUACUCAAGUAUUUGGAUGAAUGAAUUGAGGUAUGUCUCGAAGUUUGACUGUUUGACACUCUCUCUUUCGAUGUCUUCGAUUCCGUAACCAUUCCAUAAUAAUUGGGUAAGCUGCGGAGGUUUUUUGUAGUAGUAUCCCGAAAUCUCUCGAUAAGAAUUCGGUGCUAUUCGUCUGUCUAUAAAGAGUGGAUCAUGGCCAAAUGAGCAGCAUCAAAGCAUUAAAACGAAGGAAUAAGGAGUCCCCGUCCAACGGAGCACUAAGAAGCAAGUCCUCCUGAGAUGGUAUGCUAAGUAGUAGGUUUAAUAUAUUCAAGUGUGCCGCUACUUUCUCUUAAGGUUCAGAACACGAACAGAAUCUCGACAUCAAUUAGAUCAACAAAACCAAACCAUUGCCUGACGUGAACAGAUGCUUUCUCAUUAUACUGUUAAUACCAUAGAUAUCUUCUUUGUUCUCAAGCGAAUCCUAACUCUUUUCGCAGCUUUCUUUUCUUCUCUUAUUCCAUUUAUUGUUUGUGAUCGAGGGCGGUACACUUUUCCCCAAUAUGAGAGAGUUUUGCAGCUAUAGUCAGAAUGGCAACAGGGCCAGCAGCAUAGGCGAUGAGGGGAACGAACGGAAAGGCAGGCCCACUUGGAUUCGAGGUUUUUCCUUUACACGGGCAUACCCUUUCCUCUACACCGAAAUGAGUUUCCUCUACACCGAAAUGAGUUUCAUGCUAACACAGCAGCGCUGAACUCGUUUUUGCACCUCUAAAUAAUAGCUAUCAACUUCCAGGCCCCGUCUGCUUUCGGCCCGAACCCCAAGCCGGUGAAGUAUUGCCAGAGCCAAGGGAAUGGUCUUUUCUUAUAGAAAGUCUACGUUGGGCUAAAUCCUUUUAUAGACGAUCGUACUUCCUUAUGUGCUAAGAUAUCUUUUUGCGCAGAAUGAAGUGUUACCCAAGCCCCCGAUCCAGAUAUAGAAAGUGUGCCGGAGAAAAGUUCGAAUAAGAGAGGAGUUAGAAUCUGAUUUCUCUCUCUCGGCUUCAGCUGCCUUAUCAUAGGCUAUGGGCCGAAUCGUCUUAUUCCAAUCCCAUAAGGAAAAAAGAGCCGAAUCAUCCAUCUUCCGUUAAGCUUCAAGUACUAGUGCGGAUAUCAAUGUCUUCAUCUCAAGCUUUUUGGGUUGUGGUGGGAUAGAAUCAGAUUAUUAAGUAAGUACCCGAUUCCGGGGAAUAAGGUUGUGCCAGAAUAUAGCUACCCGAUUCAUGAACAGAUGCAUUCUAUACUUAAUGAUAAGAUCUUGCAGAUGCAUUCUAUACUUAAUGAUAAGAUCUAUCUGGUACGCUGAGGGGUUCCCAUGAAGAAUCAGAGCUAAAGUCAGUCCUAUGUCCUAGCAUCGGGCGGGAAAGAAAGCCCUUACUAUGCAAGCACUGUGCCCAGCGUUUAUGAAUCUUCUAUCAGGUUGGAUUUCGACCCUUAUGAACCUGGCACCUCUCUUACAUAAAGCAAUAAAGCAGAAGCUAAGGAAAAGGAAUUGGAUGGUAUUACUCUAUCGUUGGGCCUACUCCAUUUCAAAGGUUAGUGUGCGUAGAGAUUACUUCUGUCAAUAGGCAACUGCAACUCAUGAAUAUAAUCAACCUCACUCCAGUAGACGUCGUAGUUUAGGACAUAGCUACGAGAGAAAAGAAAUAGGACCUUGCGUCUUUACCUGCAAAUGAGGCCCAAGUUCAAUCCGAAUAAGCAGUGAAUUGGCUUUCUCUCUUGAUCGUAGAUAUUGAUGUGUAAGGUAGUUACAGGCCGAAGACAACUACAAUAAGAAACAACAUCAAGUAUAUUUAUGUUGAGCUAUGCCUUAAGAUGUGUUCAGGCGCGGCAGCGAGUUUUAAGCUGCGCGGCCCCUCACAUUCAUUUGGUGCCUUGACUGCCUAGCCCUAUUCUCUGAUAGUUCAAGCUGAGAUAGUGGAAUUAGAUGUCAUGUCAGUUCCUAUAGCAGACGCCUUCUUCCCAAACCCCUUCUUUUCCUCUUAUUCUAUGUUCUUUUCUUGCCUUAGAUCAAUCCCUUCUGCACUUUGUCCUAAAAUGCAUAUUCUCAAGCAGGGGAUUCGUUAAUAGUAAGAGCGCAUUCCUUGUCCCAUUCAAUGCAAUACUUUACUCUUUUCUUCAAGGUUUUGCUUGUAUUUUCAUAGAGUAAGUGUAGUAAUCACUCUAUAGUAAAGGCACUCGAUUAGCUGGCAAAAGCGCUCUUCUUUCCUUGUGAUUUGAUAUAACUCGGUCGAACUAAAUGCUAUUCUUUUGUGCCAAAUGUGGUAAACUCGUGGUAUCGUAUAUAAAGAACGGUUCAAUUCUGGAGUUUUAGGAGUGGCUCGAUCAAACUCUCAAUUUCAGAAGCCAAUUCUUUGGAAGUUGUGAAAGGGCAGAGUUCCAUAUUGACAUUUACUGCGAUAAUGUUGCAAGGGCGUUCGGGUGGAGUUAAAGCGAAAGGAUAUCAAGAGAGUUAUUAGUGGUAUUAUGAAACGUAAACUAACUAAGUACAUGAUAAGCUUGAAUCUUCCUACUCUUGUUAGUGGGGACAGAGCAUCCUAUUGAUUAUCGUCUCGAGCUCCCCCUUUCCGGGUGGACGAGCCGAGUUCGAAAUCACCUCAUCGGAACCCCACUUUAACUCUUCGCUGGUUUGAGAUCUACUUCGUUAGUACCAGUCGGGAAUCGGGAAACCUCAUGAGCGGUACACCUUCCUUAUAAGAAAGAGAUAAGACCUAUUACUCUUGUCCCUUGCUGUGGGACUAGGAGCAGCUAUUGCUAUGUCAUCCCCAACUGUUAGCUCAGUUAGCGCAAAGGGAAUGAAAGCAGUAACUUCCUGAGUUAGCUCUUAAGAUGUUGAAGGAACAAGCUUAGCAGUUAGCUCCGCUCGUGGCAUAGCUCUGAGUAGUAGUAGCGAUCGGUCGCCGUUCACGACUCCGAUGUUAUCGGGUGCAGAUGAACAAGCGGUGUGAUCUUUUCCAAUGAAUACCAGACGAGGAGUCAAUUAUUGUUGAGUGAAAUGACAUGGCACGGAUCUGUUUAAGAUUCAACAAAUAAGAAGCUGGCUCUUGACCUUAUUCCAUAUGCCAUGGUAUCAGCCGUCGGUGGUUUACUAAGUAUUAGCCCUUUCACAAGGGAAUUCUCUUUCUGAAAGAACUCCGAGUGAAGGUGGCUGCUUUGCUUCUCGCCGGGACGGAUUUGACCUUUCAACCAAAAAGGAUUGGAUGCUAUUUCUUCUUUCCGGGCUUCAGCCAGUAGCACUUGUCAAGCUGUAAAGAAAGGGGAGGAAGUAGCAUUUUCCCGGACUUCCAAUCCAAAAGAAGAAGGACCAGGCCCCAAAAUGAUGUAGCCCAAGGAGACGAAUAGUCCAGAAAGGAAAGGCUAUUGGCUCAUUGACUUCCGGUUUACGAUUCAAUUAGUCUCUUUCAUUUUGAGCGAAGAACUAUUAACCAUGCAAGGAAUAGCUAGCUAAAGUAUACAAGGCAAUCCUCAAAGACAGCGGUUGACCUUAAAGAGUUGUCAAGGGCUGGUUACUCUCUUUUCGACUUUUUAAGGAAUGGUUUCCGCUCGAGUCGCUAAGGGCUUUAGCGGGUUCGGGUUACUUUCUUUCUAGUAGUCCUGCCCGGAAGUCCAUUUUCCCUGCCUAGCAACAAAAACAAAGGAAUUGCUGAAACUUGUAUAGUUGCUUGGAGGGCAAUGAACUACUUUCCCGCUGACUUCAUACUAAUACUUUCGCCGCGAAGUCUGUGCUUUGCACUCUUCCUAGAAUAGCUCAAUUCCCUGUUGGUAUUCUAGUAAGUGGUAGUUGGGUUCCGAGUGGUUUUCUUCAGUAUUGCUACCGGUGGCUGGAUCCCUAUAGGGUGGUUAAGUAUUAGAAGUGGCUGUUGGGUCCCCAGUUUCAAGUUCCAGUUUCGUUGGUAUGAGUUUAAUGGCAAGUAGCCUAAUUCUUCCUUUAUAGGUUCUUUCUUAUGAGUUUGCUUAUUAGUUUGAUUCCCGAGUUCAAUUCACUGUUUCCAUUGUAAAUAUGUAUUCUUUGGUUCAUUCUUCCCAGUAGCCGUUCCAGUCUUUCUUUUGCUAGUCUCAAUUACAAGUUUCGAAUUCCAUUCUAUAAGAGUAGGUGGGGCCCCUUUAGUGAUAGAGAAUGACUGUAGUGAUAGAGAAUGACUGUAGUGAUAGAGCACCUUGCAAUCGAGAAUAAGUGCUAAGUAAUAGAAUCGUAGGGUCCAAAAAAGAAAUAGAAUCAUUUGUGAAAAAGUCAGUUUCGGGGCACCUCUUCAGGGAACCUCGCAUCAAAGCAAGAGUCAUAGUCAGAAAAUAGUAAUAAUAAUCAAAGUAGUACGCCCAGAGUCCUAUAGUUGUCGGGCCUCUCUGAUUCUUUCCUCUUAUCUGUUUGUUCGUGAAGUCACUUCGUUCAUAUCAAUGGUUGUUGUGCUAGGGUAGGGCUAGGCUAGCAUCGUUCGUAUCAAUGUGGCCAGAGCUAGAGGUUGGGCAAGCUGAUAGACGAGGUCGUGCAAGCUGAUAGACGAGGUCGUGCAAGCUGAUAGACUCAAAUCAAUCCCUGUUCGCUCAAGCUUAUAGACUCAAAUCCAUCGAGGUCAGGCAAGCUUAUAGACUUCAAUCAAUGCCUGUGCGAUCCUAUUUCGUUAAUCAAUCCCUGUUCGACUUGCCUCUGUAUUGGUUUACUUGACAGCUUUUCCUCUUGGGGCGUUAUUUACUUAUUAUUGGUGUCCAUUUACUGAUAUUUAGAAUAAGAUCUAGCGCAUACAAGCAAUAGAAUACAACUAAGACUAACAAUACUUGAACUGGGAACUAAGAAGCAAAGGAAAAAGUAGCACACUUGAACUCGAAACGGCUACCCUACCCGCGUACCGAGCCACAUUGCAGGAAUUAGCUCACUAUUACAAUAAACGAUUUCAAGAUCUAGGAGUUGUCUUCUCUCUAUCACUCCUUUGGAGGAAAGACCGGUCAUUCUCUAACGCGAGACAGAAAGCAAAUACUUGAACAAAGAAGGUUGGCAGCGAGUCAACAUAUAGGUUAAGGAAUGCUAUUAAGACUCUAUUUAGCUACAGCCCUUAUGGAGCUCCAUUAAGCCAAGCAAGAAGCCAAUUGCGGCCAGUAAGUAUAGUAGCGCGGCUAGCUCAAUAGCUGAUAGAGAUGCAGCCUCAGAAGCAGAAAGAAAGAUAAAGAGACUAAAGGAUGAAAAGCAAGGACCAGGAAACCAAGAAAGAAACCAAAAGAAUAAUAGGCUUGUCAGUAGCUCGCUAAGUCAUUUGCCCUAGAGCCCUAGAUCCUAUUUUCCAUUAGAUUCUUUAGUGGGCAUUCCUCUUAGUAAAAGGGAGAAGAAAGGGGACAGACCUUAUGCUCCAUCCCCCUAUUAACAGACAGACCCACUCCUCCUUAUGCUCCAUCUCCUAAUUAAUAGUAGACUUGUGGUGCAAUUGCUAAUCAGUGGCUUCUAAGAAAACUAGAGAAUUGAGCCUACCCAUCGCCUCUGAUAUUGAAGCUUUAUUACUGGGCAAGCAGCUCCACUCCCAAUGGCAGGCCUCCCUGAUGACUUGUAGUUCUCAACUGGGCUCUCAGGAGAUCGAUUCCCUUCCGAGCCAAUGCAGAUUGGUGCAGAUAGGCGAAUAGAGUCCACGACGCUUUAUUCAGCCUUUUCGAAAAUCCCCACGUAAGUCCACUUUUGGCCCCACGUAAGUCAACUUUGGGCGAGAUCCACUUACUCUUCUCGGUCUCGGAGAAUGCUUGACAAAUUCUAUGGAAAUUGAAAAAGUAUCUUUGAAACGGAAAUAAAGACUGCUAGUCAUUACGCCUAGAGGCUACGGCUGUCAGUAGAAUCUGUGACCUUCAGGAAUCCAAUAAAAUGAACUGUCAUUCUCCUCUGGCUAUUCAUUCCUUUAUUAGCUUAGCUAGCGUUCUUCCACUUUAUUCCCUAAAUAAGCUCUUUUCAAACAUAAUAUGGGAUUCUUUAGGAACCGGGGUUGAAAACUUAGCCGGGACAUUGAGUCUACAAUCUUAUAUUAUAUAUCUAACACAAGCACCGAACAAGCAACUGACCAACCUUAUCCGAUUAUUCUGUUAUGAUAUAGUAUUUGGUCUUAGUGGCUCAUAGGCAGAAAAGGAAGUACUACUUCUAAUGUUAAGGUAAGUGUCUUGUCUUGCUAUCAGUUGUUUCAGUCACCAAGUAACUACUAAUGUUACGACCAAGCAACGGGAUGAGCUACGUAGUAGCGAAUGAAAAAGCGAGACGGCCAAGACACUACUAAUGUGUUGCGGCAGCCCAAUAAUAGUUAUAGGAAGUUAUAAACAAGUCUUGUGUUCAGGUAGCAACAAUAAUAGAUAUUACGAGUUAUUACAAUAGAUGUAUUCUGGAGCUGCUGGUUAGCUCGAUUCUCAGUUUGAUUCUUGGACUUACUAGUAGGAUUCUUUGACUACAGGAGUAGCUGUUUUAUACAAUCUUAACAUAGGCUUUCCUACAGAUUCAAAUGCUCCCACACCAGUAACCAACAAAGCUUCCGCCUUCGCUAGCGUUUUCCUUUCCAUCGUUAAGGUAUCUGUCUUACCUUGCAAAACCUCAGUCCUUAUCCGGUCAAGGUUCUAUGUCAUUUACUUUCAAACAUCACUUCUAUCUUUUCCUCACCAGCAGAGGUUAUCGAAUACCGGGUAAAGGUUCAUCGCAAUUAGGAGCAAUAACUCUUAUACAAAGUGCAACUCUUUGACGGCUGUAUUAGUCCCGUACUUCCUUCAGGGAGGUAUAACAUGAGAUUCUUGCUUUUCUCUCCUCGGGAAAGGAGCGGGUAGCCACUAAUUCGAUUAGGGCCAGCUGCUCCACAGCCUAAGGAAGUAACUAUUUCCCUACUAGCAGUGACUAGCCUUUUUUUGAAGGACGGACAGGACGGUUUCAGGCCUAAGAACGGUUUCAGACCAAGAGUGAGAAGGAGAAUUCCCGAGAAAGCGGCAUUCCUCCAAUGUGCAGUUCUUUUCUUGGUAAAGGCAAGGCUCGAGAGACCUCGAGUUAAUUCAAUGGCCCUUCCUAGGACACAAAGGCGGACUCCCUAGCAAGUCUCUUCUCUGUCUUUACCAGAACCAUCAGAGGAAAAUCCAUUACGCUUACGGUCUAUGAGAAAAGAAUCCUGCCAUCACUCUUAAGACCUAUGUUUUAGGCUAAACAACUAAGAAAGCAAGCAUUGAAGGACGCUCACCGAGUGCUUCUAUAAAAGGAAGCUAUCGAGAGGGAAAGAGAGGAAAGGAAAAAAAGCAAUGACAUUCAUCCCGCUUUGAUUUCGAGAUGGUAGUGAGGAAGGCUCGAUGUCAUUUAGUCUUUCGAUGUAGUUUCAAGUCAUCUAGUUGGGCGUUUUCGGUCCAGAGGUAAACCCAACAAAGGCGCUCUGUCCUAAGAGUUUUAGAUCCAGUUACUGUGGAAGAUCUGGCAUAACCUGAAGAAUUGCCUAUCCCUAGAAGAAAGAAGUCAAAUUGUGGACUAGGCAUAAGCGGUGGUUGCAUACCCCAUUGGAGUCUUGACCUACCCCGAAAACCCUAAUAAAAAGCUUACCAAGUUUGGGUCUUCUCUAGUAUGAGUGCAAGCCCCCAUCCAAAAAGAAAGCAGAGAAAUGCAGAAGUGACGUCCAAGCCCGUGGUCGUAAUGCCGCCUCCACGCAAGCCCUCGUGAACCGACCUCGUCCGCUCGGAAGGACACAAGCGCUUAAUCAAAAGAAUCCACUCUCGGUAACAUGAUCGAAGUUCGAUCCACCACUUUAGGGAAAGAGACGAGCUUAUAUAUUCAAUAUUAGCAAACUGCCUUUCAACAUAGGAGGAAUCACUCACGGACAGACAAGAGACAAUAGGUCGACAACUUUAAGCUAACCCUACCUUGCAGUCGUAUCGAAUGGGGGGCUUUUCUCGUUUUUUUCAUCAAUAAUUUUGUAUUUCUCUUUUUUGCACUCUUUCUUUUUUCUUGAAAUUCUCCUCUUCACUCUUGCCAACCAUCUUUCGAACGAUUGAGAGUAGGUCUAGCUGUUAUGAAGGGUCUUAGAGGUUACUUUAUUCACCCUCUUAAGAUCCGAAAUAUCUAAGCAAGUCAGUCUUUGUUCAACAGAACUGACACGGGCCCUGCUACUAAUAAUAUGAUAUAGGAUUGCGCACGUGUACCUUACUCUCAGAGUCCAAAAACAUAAGAUUUCUAUAAUAAGACAGCAGGGGGGAAUAACCCGGUCCAAUAGAAACAAUCUUUCCCCAGCCAGACUGAGUUCUUCCAAUAGCGCAUAUCAUGCUUUCUCGUCGAAGAUAACUUCAUCAUUUGCUCUAGUCUAAAUCAAAACUUCAUUGAAGAAUCUAGAAAAUGCUAUCCCAGUAAACCCUUGGGGAAACUAACAAUCGAGGAUGCCCAUGUUGACUAUAUUGAAUAAUACCCUAGUGAUUUAACCCACUGGUGGCAUACCCCAAAAGCGGAUAUAAGACCCAUUCUUUCCAUCAUCAUCAAUGAUAGGGAAAAUAAGAAAGUCAAGAUGAAAUUAGUUUCGAAACGGAACCAUCUACAACAUCAGGCAGAACCCUCUCUUAAGGCUUAACCUUAUCGGCAAUAAGACUGAUUGGAAUAAUCCUUAAUGAAAGUGAUUACUAUUUCUGCUUUCGCGGCGUCUGAAAGUCUUUGAAAGGGUGCUUUUGUUGCGGUAUCUGGAAGCUCUGCGUCGGUUAAAUGGUUCAAUUGUCUUUCUACUUUCAUCGAGAAGCUCUUUUCUUUUAUCAUGCGAAUCUCUCUACUGCUAAGGUGGAGUCUAAACUGCGAUUGAAUGCUCAUAUAAACUGCGGAAGUAAAGUAGAAAGGUAUCUCGUAACGUUUCAAGUAUAGUAUCUGGUUGUUCAACCCCCGUCCACUCUAUCACUUACAGCCCGGUAACAACUCUAUCACUUACAGCCUCGGCGCCAUAAACAAGUGUUGUUGCAGCUGUCUGAAAGUGGAGUCUCUUUGGGUGCUGCUAACUUUAAUGAGAUUCCCUCUGGCGUCCUUGCUUGUGCGAAAGCGGUUAUUGCUUUUGGCCUAUGAUUGAACAAAUGAACCUAACAACACAGCGGACUCCCAACCUUAAUCCAGCAUAUCAGCAGUCGAACGCUUCACUAUGAGGACAGAGAGGCACCGCUAACAACGAGGACAGAGAGGCACCGAACACUAUUGACACUUUUUUCUUAGAAAAGAGAAGAGCCAAGCUACUAGGCAAGUCACUAAAGCUUCAUAUCUUGAUACUGUUCUCGAUCUUUCUACUGCUUCAACAAAUUCUUAAAGAAGAACUUCUGGCACAAUACUUUUCUCUGGAUCUGGAACUCGACUUGCAACUUUACCUUUAGUGGCGCAUUCGGCUUCUGACACAAUACUGGAAUCUGGGCCAAGUAACUACUUUUGUUAGCUUCCAAGCCUUAUUAUCUACCCUACUGGCCAAGCCCCUUAUUAUUGACUAUAUCGCUGCCCAAGCCUUACUUGUUUGUUUGCUGCCUCCAAGCCAUACUCUUUUGUUUGAACUUCCAAUGCCUAGGUUGUCUCUCACUGGCCGCUCUCUGACUCUUUGACUCCGCUCUCAAUGCCGAUGUUUUUGUAUUCCUUUCAGGGCUAUCAUUCUGUGACUACUAACAAAAAGUAUGCCACGACUCCAUAUAAGCACUACGCUCGUUAGCUACAUUACCUAUCUCUUAUCUAAACACUCACUCCUGUCUCUCAGAAAGUACCAAUUCAAAUGCUCCAUGGAGAACCCCCAGUUUCUUGUUUGUUCCCGUCCAACUCACCGGGAGAUCGAAGAGCGGUUUGCGCUUCGCGCCCCAACCCCCUGAACUAAUAGAUGCUUAGAUACCAGACGGAAUCUGGAAGCUAAGCUAAGGAUGGACGAGAACAGCUAAGAUAAGAAAAGAAGACAAACAGAGGUAGGAAGGUGGACUAACCUUAACCAGUCUAUUGCCUUCCCUUUCGACUUAUAGACUUGUUCGUCGGCGGGCAAUUUAGUAAGAAGAGCCAAGAUCCAAUUCGUAAAUAGCAGAUGAACCUAUCUUAAUAUUGAUUGAAGUUGCCGGCGAACUUGAAAGAGCUUUCUUUCCUCUCACUAAUAACCCCUAGAGCAAUAAACAACAUUAAGAAUUAGUGGUUGAUAUCCGCGAAUAUGUCUUCCUAGAAUCCUGAUGCCGAGAAUAGGCGGUGAAGGUAUAAGAUCUCAAAUCCCAUCAUGAGGCUUCGGUGAACAAGAGAAGAUCAAAUUGCUCCUCUUUCAGGAUUGCUUGUGGGGACUUUUCCCCAAGCUCCUUCUUGACUACUUGAUUGUAUACAUAAUUAUUAUGGUUCUGGUACAUUAACAUUAUCGUAGUUAUUCGAAAACAAAGGUACUUUAUUAGAGUGGAAAGAUCUUAUCUUUGUUUAUAGCAUAUGUUUGUCCGAAGGAGAAGGAAAGCAUAAGAAGGGCUAUUGGCACAGACAUGGAAAUGGCCGCGGUGGAAGCAGACGCAUCUUACGCUGCAGGCUUGAUCCCGACUCUCUCAAUAUGUGGGUAUACUCAUAUGAAUUUCCAUUUGCAUUCCACUACUCUAUUGUCUAGUAUCCUAAGAGACAUAUACUGCUGAUUCUGUUACUGCAACACGAGAACCUCUACCCUCUCCACUGAGUAUUAGUACUCACACAAGAACUUUACUUGCAUUGCUUAUAACAAGCACCCGACCCGAACUCCAUUUAAAGAACCAACACCAGGUCAGGUAGUUCUUUCCAAUUCUUGCUUUUGUAGGUCAAACUAACUUUAGCUAGACGAAGAAAGGACACUGACACUGGCCGACAAGGAGCUAGAGCCUUAAACACAAGCAUUCGAACGUGACUUUCCUGGACCACACCUCGCAUCAAAGCAUGUAAGAAAGUCUGCCCUAAACAAAACUUCCUUUCCCGUCUCGUAAGCGCACUGAGUCUUCUGUUUUGGGGCCUAUACUAGGACUUUUUUCUUGCACCGAGGAAGAGUCAAACAUCAAUCUUAAUUGUUAAUAUAUGUCAUAUAAAGAAAGUGGGAAUUUCAAUUGACGGAUGCUAUAUAAGUUAGGGAUUUCAUAACCUUUCCUUCUGCCUUCUGUUAGCGCUAGUACUUGUUUUAGGAGUUAAGGUAAGUAAGAUAGAUAUUCCUAUGUAUUGUAUAGGCUAUGUCUCCUACUCUAGGGCUCUCUUUGUAAAGUCAUAUAUAUAUAUAUAUUCCUAUUCAAACUAUGUAACUCCACUCUUAUACAAAUACUAUUCAUUCUAUGUAACUAAUGUAACUAAUCCUUGUGCCUAAUGCGCUAUAUCUAUCCCUAUGAAUUCUGAGUAACUAAUACUUACUUGUCUUAUACUAUCUUAUACUUACUUGUCUUAGUAGUACCCUAUUCUUAUACUAUAUUCUGACUUUCUAUUCUUACCCAAUUCAUAUACUACUUACUAUUCAUUUACUUACUUGCUAUAUUAUUACUAGAUCGUACCUUCUUCUUAGUAUACUUAUUCAUAUACUUACUAUUUCUUUCUUCUUCUACUCUAAUGCGCUAGCAAAUUCUGUAUUCUGGCCCGGUAGUUGAUCAUUCAAUUCUAUCUAUAGGAUUAUAGGGACUGUUCUACUUUCAAGAGGAGUUGACCCUAGGUUCAAGUUAGCAAACAGGGUAAUUGGCUCUGUGUUGGGAGUUCGGGCAAGAACAAGUGUGUCAGUGGCUAAAGCGUCAGUUCCAUCUUCUACUGCUAUCCGAUCUUAAGCUUCUGCGCUAAAAGGAGAAAGUCUUGAUUCAAUUCAUUCUGCCUAAUAAACUAGUGCAUCAGCAAAAGUGCAUUCUUUUCCUACAAGAUUCUCUUCAUGUGGAGAGUCAAACUCGGUAUAAGGGGAAGUUUCUCAGUGACUUUUAUCUAUUAGCAGGAGCAGGGGAAUAAACAAGGUCGGUCGGAGUGCCUAUCUUCAACAAGACUCAGUGCGGCAAAAGGUUAGUGUUUCCCUUUACUUUGCUUUGGAUAGAUCCUUAUUUUCUCUUUCUUUUGAGAAUAUACUCUUUCCUUGUUCGAGCGGCAAGGCCCGGAUCUGAUGGCUCCCUUUAAGUCCUCAAAGGUUUCUUUACAUUCUCUCGUCGAAUGCCAUGGUCUGUUCUUCUUCUGGAGAUUAGUCAAAGGCAAAGGCCCCACACGAAAAGCCUUGGAUGAACCUACGACCUGGCCAAGAAAAGAUCGGAACUUAUAUACCUUUUGGGGGGGAUGCCAUUCCUAUAUGGCCUUAACCUUAUCAUUGUCCAUGCAAAUGGUACCUCCCUUGAUCCGAUGUCCAAGGAACAAACAAGACUCUUAUGUUCCGGGCGAUGCGGACGGGCCCUUUGAUAACUAAAUGAAUUGGACUCCUAAUCACACUUACACGGUCGUGAGUAUGACUGCUAGCGUUGAUGCCCACAAUCGGAUGCUCAAGAAUAAGCCAAUAACAAUAGAAAGGGCAGGGACUUCUGAGACGCCUGUUUGAUAUAAGGGCGAGUUUGCAAGCUAAGGGCGAGACAGAUAUUUCAGAUGGGACUUUUCCCUUAUUCUGACUUCUUUGCACUAGUCUCAUGGCAAUAUCUCUUUAGCAUCCCGACAUUCCUUAUUGCCCUAACACAAGGCACAUAUUUGUAGCCUAUAAAAUCAAGGAAAGGAUGAGCUUUGGGGACAUUCCAGCUUUCCGGCUUUACUGCUUUAGUGCUUUACUGUUUGUUACACUUUCUUCAACUUACGAUUAGGGGAUCUCAAUAACACAGAAAUGUACUUCUCCAUUAGGGUCUUAUCCUUUAUCUAGAAAAUGGGAGAGUCUCAUAGGCAAUAGGUUAUGCUUUGGCGCUUUCUUUACUAGCCCUUAGAGCCUGUGGGAAUAGCUGUCAGCCUAUCACCUAUAAAGUCAAGAGUGCAUUUACCUAUUUAGAGUACCACUAUCAUUAGUAGAGGGAUCAGACUUAGCUAAAAGAGACAAAGGCUCGUAGGUAGUAGUAAAAGAAAAUGGUAUUCCAGAAGGGCAGGCUAACUGGCGGGAGCUUUAAGUUGUAAUCAAUAGAUAAGGGGAUUGAGAUCAGUAAGGGCAAGGCCUAUUUCCUUGUUUUAGGUGAAGUGUAACAGCAGUGAAAGUAUCGUACCCCGGAGUAGCUCCAUUCCAAUAGUAAGUAGCUCAAGAGCCUGUUGCCGGUAGCCCAAUCCCCCGUUUCGAGUUCAUUUCUUUAGUCCACACAAAGUGCAAAGCCUUAUUAGCAGUGAUUGCUGGUCUUGCUAGCACCAGUCCAAGUCCUCGAAGCUGUACCUUAUCUGGUAUGCCCAAUUUCCAUUCUUAUUGAGAGUAGCAAAAGCCCGAGUUCCAAGUAUAAAGGAUGAGAAGCACUAGCCUGGGAAUGAGAUAAAGCACUAGGAGGAUGCCAGGUAGGAGCGGUAGGGUAAAAGUAAGGAAAGGAGGGAUGUUAGGCAGUAGCCUGAGUUUUAUAGCUAAGAAAGAUGGGCUGAGUAGGCGAAGUAGGAGAGUUAAGGGGUCGUUUGGGCAUGUUAGACCCUCAGCUUUGAGUUGAAUUAUGUGUCUCCGUUUUCAAUCUUAUAGGAAUUACUUGCAUUCCCGGGUUCGAGUUCAAGUAUGAUUAUUACUAGAGCAAUUCUUUCCAUUAGCAGUCACACUCCUUUUAUUGGUAGUUGGCUUCCCUUUCUCUAGUUAAAGUAUUAGAAGCGAUAGUUACAUAAUGAAAUCAAAGAGAGGUAGGUUGAAAGAGGGGAACUAUAGACUCAUAGCUAGGGGAUGUAGGCUAGAAGAAAGUAAAACGGAGAUUCGAAUCGGCAGUGAAAGUAUUAGAAACAGUGGGGUCAGUCCAACCAGUAGUGGGCUUGAAGAAUAGUAUAUGUAGUUUAGUAAUGAGGUCAAGGAUGAGCAGGUCGAAGAGCGAGACCGGGAUAUUAAGUUGGUAAAGAAUUAGAAGCUGGCUGGGUAUUGGUAAGAAUCAGACAAGUAAAGAGAUCCCGAAGACAUAUAUUGUAAUAAUGGGAACUCUAGCGGCCCUUUCCCUUUAGCGCCACAGUAGACAAGCUACCACUCCACUACACUUCUUUUGAAACAGAACUACUACCCUUACUUUCAGGCUUGGACUCCUUAGUUUGAUCCGUUCACCUAUAUAAAUAUAAUAUAGAAUUCAGUAGGGGACAAGCCUACAAAAGAGAUAGAUUUCCUCUUUGCUUAACACAAGCACCCUAGCACUAAAGUUCUCUUUCCACCGACAACACUAGCACCAAACCUAUCCCUCUGACUUAGAGCUGGAGCACCAACCCAACCCGCCAAGCAACGAGCCAAGUAACGACUAGAGCACCUAUUUUGGAUGAUCCUUUUGAAGAAACACGGGAUUUUUCAUAGCAAUCGGAUUUCCCCUAAUAGGUGGCCUAUUUGGAAUGAGAUCUUGGCGUUUUCCCGAGAAAAAAGGUAGCCAAGUCAUUUCCCUUCCUGGACCGAUCAAAAGGAAUCAAAGGUUUGCGUUUUCCCGGGAAACAGCGCUGGCGCGUAACAUUAGUAGUUACUUGCCGGAUAGCAUUGUCAUUUCCCUUCCUGGAAGGCAUCAUGGAAAUUGGAUUUGUGCGGGGACUCCUGCCGCAUCACCGAACACAUAGGGAGUAAGAGAGCAACCAAAACGGUUUAUUUGCUUUUUAUUAUUCCAGUUGAGUUUGAGGCCUUGGCCCCGGGAUUUUUCAUAGCAAAUGGAGAAUAUCUCCUCUGAUCUUGCCUCGGAUCUUGCUCUUGAAACUAACCACUCGAACAGGAACAAGCAGUACUAAAGGGAUUCCACUCGCUAACUACAGGCUCGGCUCAUCUAACUCAAUUCAUUUCUUUGAUACCUUCAUUCUUCCCACUCCGAUGAUAAGAUCUAGUCAACUGGUUUUCUUUCUUUCCUUACCUAGCAACUGCAGACUCCCCAUUAGAAGGGACAGGUCACCAAAGCCUUACUAUUAAGCCUUCAACUUCAACAAGGUCUUCCACUCUCACAGGAACAGGGCAAAGUCACUACUAGACAAGAAAGCCAGCCAGUAAACUCUUGCUCUUCUGCCUCAUUGGCAUCCUCCGCUACUGAUGCAACAGCACUACAUGACUUAACGAGCACAAGAACUAUCCUUGAAGACGAGACCAGCUCUCAUACUGGGAGUUCUCUGUCUAUACUCUGCGUGUGACCUAUGAAACCAUCUUUGAAUGCCAUUUCAAGCGAAUUUCCUAGCUUAUUUCCCAUAAAACUUAAUAAGUGCUGCUCUAGUUCAUUUGAAACCUAGAUCUUGAUGGCAUUAAUUAAGGUCACAGGACUGGAAGUUCAGAAAUCAGAAUGGAGUGGACUUACCAACUAGACCACUACAAAUAAGAAUGACACUCGAAGCUAAGAGGCAAGCAACAGAACAAUUCUAGUUCCCCACUUGCAGCAACAGAGCCAUUCUAGUUCCCCUGGCUCGGCAGCAUCAGAUCUUAUCUCAAACCGGAAAUUCCAUUCUUUCUCACACCCGACACCCAUACCAGUAAGCUACCUUAUCAGUCUGCCUAUCCUUGCUUUCAUUCUUUCGCUACCCGGUUGCAUUCUUAGUUGUACUUGUUAGAGACCCUAGCUACACCGCAUCAGCCCGAGGAACACUGGGUUAAGCCUUUGACUCACUGGUAUCAGGCUGAGUGUGAACUGUUUGAUUCUUUGACUCCAAAGCAGCAGUCCCAUACUAACUAGCAUCGGCCUGUAACACCUAAGCUUCAAUCUGAGCCUACCCGGGUGAAGCCUGAGCGACAGUAGUUAGAGACCCGAGCUACCUGGCAGGCUUGGAAGCACUUGUUUCGUUCUGUGACCUGGGUCGGAUAGCCUAUCACUCCUUAGGUGCAGUCUGAGGCAUAUGGGUUUGGUUCUUUGACUACCGGGGCUCAGUCUCAGUGGCACUGGUAUCAGGCUUAGAGUCAGGUGUUUGGUUCUUAGGGGCACUGGUUGGAGUCUUGUCAGCACCAGUAGCUGGCUUGGAAGUUUAGGUUGAAGUCUUGCUCGCCCUUGGUUGAGUCUGUAACUACCUACCAGAAGCCUUAUUCCCAUGGUGGAAUCUGCUACUAAUGAGUUGAAGCCUUAGAUGCACUGGGUCGAUUCUCUGUCUGAUGAGUGUCAGUCUGGUUAGCAAGGGUUGGUGUCUGAUUGGAUCGAGUUUGAGUCUGAUCGGCACCAGCACUAGUCUGUUACUCCUUAGCCUCAUUCUCGGUGGUAUUGGUUGCAUUCUGAUCGGAUCUAGUUGAAGUCUGAUUGGAGUGAGUUUGGUUCUGAGAUGCACUGGGUUGGUUCUGCAAGUAAGUGAGUGAAGACUGGUUGGUAGGUGCCUCAGUCCUAGCAACAUCGGUAUCAGCCUUAGAUGCACUAGUGGAAGGAUUGCUUGCACUGCUUUCAGGCUUGGACUGCCCAGCUCCGUUCUCAUACUGCCUAGGUGAAGUCUUUGAUGCACUGCUUUAAGCCUUAGAUACACUGGCUGCAUUCUCGCUUCCCGGGGUUGAUAGCAAUUCUGCACUUCUUUACAUAUAGCUUGGCUUCAAAGCCUCUCUUCUGGCUACAACUACUGAUGCAACAGGACCAUACCACUCACAAAACCCCGGCAAAAAGGGCAGCAACCAGUGAGAGCUCCUGCCGCGUAACUAACUACGUUCCUUGCCUGAUAGCCAUAUGUACUAGUCUCUUUGCUUUGAGUGGAAUUCUGAAACUACUCCGAGUUGACUUCUUGUUAUCAUAUAUAAGAUAAUAUAUAAUUUAGUAGGGCCAAGGAACGGAUAGACAAGUAGGCAAGCAUCGGCAUACAAUCCGUUUUCAUGAGGCCAACAACAACUUGGGCUGUAAACUAUUGAUCCUAUACAUCUCCUCUAACUCUGGCUCCGUCAAGCUACAACUACUGAUGCUGAUUCUCUUUCUUCCCUUUCCUUCCUCUCCUCAAGAAUUAGCAGUGCGAGGAAAGUCUUCGAGAGACCUUAUUGGUUAGCUGUUACUAAUUUCACUGUGACUAAUUUCAAACAAUUUGGUCAAGGAGAAAGUGUAGUUCAAUUUAGGAGUUUGCAAAGGAUCUUAACCAGUGUGGUAUGCCAGCGGAGUGAAAAGAGCAAGAGCAAGAGGCAGACUGCACUUUACUAUUAAUUCGUAGAUUAGAAAGCAGCUUGCUUGUUGAAUAGGGCUCCUAGAGAUCCUUUACUCUGCCCCGACCUAUACUUUCUGUGAAGCCGAAGCCGAAGAUUCUCUAGCUCUUUUCGAAUGUCCUAUAUUAGCUAUUUCCUCAUUGCUUAACACAAGACAAGCACCCGAACCCACUUCUUUACUUAUUGCUUCCUCGCCUGUAACUGAACGAGGAUUCUGCUUCUCUGAACUUCACUUCUUCUUAUCCCGAUCCUGCUGAUGACCUGAACUAUACCUUCUUUGCUACUUACUUACGAACUUAAGCAUCUGAUCUCGUCGUAAAGACAGAUUCCACUUCAACAAGGUAUUCAAUUAGAACCAGGGGAUGGGUAAAAUGCUUUCUUUUCAGUUUCAGAACUAUGAUAUGGACUUUCCCUCUAUUACAUUACUUCUCUAUGAACUAUAUUAUAUUUACCACUAGAUUCUAUUUACCUUUACCUCUACCGGUGUACAGAAUACUAGUCUCUCUCUUUGGUUACUCAAAACUUCUAUUUAAGGGUAUAGUAGUAGUCCAAUGGAAGCAGUGCCAAGCCGGAAGGGGGGAGAGAAUCCUUAUAAUACUGAUUUCACUUUACUACUGGAGAACUACUUGCUGCUGACUUAACUGCUGAAGAAAAGAGGGCUUCUUUCCAAGAGUCAACUCAAUUAUUAAAGGAAGGAGUGCUGGGGGCAGUAAAGUAAGUAAACUCUAUAAAUUAUACUGCCUUUGAAGCGAGGUGUCCUGUCGCACCCCCAUAAGAAUGGAGCUCUAUCUUGUCAACAACAAAUAAGUAACAGAAUGGACCUCUCCUCUCUCUAUCUUGCCAACCCACAUUCUGCAGACCGUUUAGACCACAUGAAGUAGGCACAUCGGGUGGAGCAGCUAAGGGGAAAGUUUCAAUAACUUCUCGCUACUGAAGUAGACCGUGCAAAGGUAAGACCUAUGUUCAAGGUUGUUAACGCUUAUGAGUUCGUGCAGCUCGACAAGCAAAGGAAAGCCAAGAACGUAUCUCUAUGAAGCAUAAGAUCGGAUUACUGCUGACUGACUUGAUACUGUUUCUUCUUAGCUUCCUUCUACAAAAGCUUGAACCCGAACUCUCUGCUUGAGCUUGCUGUACGACGAAAACAGAAGAAGUUAUGAUUAAUAAAUAAAUAGUAGCGCUACGGCAUCAAAGCAAUUAAUGGAUUAUGACCUCGAUACCGCCUCUGAUCUCGCAAACUCCCUGACUUUUGAUUAUUCCUCGAACUCGUAUUAACUUGAAGAACUGCCUUGCAACAAAGAAUGGAAUCGAAACCAUACUCUCUACCCUUGUAAAACUCCUCAGGUAAAUUAGAUCACUACUUUACGCACCUAUGUAAAUGACUCCUUCCCUUUUAGCCCGGCAUUAUAGUCAUUUUCAUCUAACGCACAACCUCAAAGCUCACGCUCUACUUAAUGGAAUUCCUAAACUAUGGCAAACAAACGAAACUCACCGGACUAACGCACCCAAGAAGUAAGCUAAGGCUUAAGACAGGAAUGAACCUAAGCUUGUUUCAUGAAUGGAACUUUGCCCUUACUUUAGCACUGUGGAGAAUCCUUCUUUUUAUUCCUCUCAAGCAUCAGAUCUUUCUUCGGCAACAGAUCCAGCUCUUUAUCCUUGACUUUAUUCUCUGACCUUUAAAAGCCAGUACUUGAUCUUGAUCCAGCUUAUGGUUUCCACUCGAAAGUUCUAUUUCUCUGUAAUUAGAAUUGAAUCCUCCUGCCCUAUUCCUUGGCUUGCACCUUAGUGAGCCACCCUAAACCAACCCAACUAUUUCUCUUAUUUGCUUGUUUAUCGCAAAAAGCAUUCCAUUCCUGUUAGCUAGCUCUUGUCGUUAGCGCACCUAAACUAGAUUAUGACUUUACCAGCACCUAAAGAGAAGUAAGCAUUAGCAGCACUAAGUCAAAGAGAAAUAAGCAUUAGCAGCACGAAGUCUUGUUGCAACGAGGAAACCUUUAAAGUCAUCUUUCUUGCGCCGAGGAAGAGGAAACCAGAAAUAGGAAUUGUUAAUAUAUGUGAAUAUAUGGUUAUAUAUGGUUAUAUAAAGAGUGAGUGGGAAUGUAAACUCCAGCUAGCACGCACAAAGUCUCUUCUCUUGUUGCGCUACUAAAAAAGGACUCGUGCAUAACUCCUACUAACGCAGACUCGUUCUAGGCAGCAUACUAAUGCUUGUUGAGUGCCUUUCCUCUCUAUGCUUCUAUGCUUAUUCGUCUUGCUCCAGUUCUCGUAACACGAACACAGCACUUGGAAUUGAUUCUCUCGAUGUAAGGUCAAGCUGUAACUCCUAAUGUGUAAGUCAAAGAAUUCUCUUCCGAAUACAUUAAUUCUUUCCCGCCUAACUAAGCUUCUCUUUUGCCUACUUACUAGCUAGAUUGCUUGCUUCUUGAAACAUAUUCCUCUGUUGGUCGACUUUCGAACUGGAACUACACUUGAUGACUGGAACAAGACUGGAAUUGCUAUCAGCAAAGUCACUAGACAAGUAACGGGCAAGAGGAGAAGGUUAGGAUAGAGGUCAAGUGGAAAGUAUAGUUUAAGUGCUCGUCCUGUAGUUGGCGAGUGGAAUCCUAACUAAAGAGUGGAAUCCCCUUUAAGUAGUAGUCUAGACUUCCUGCAACUCUGAUAUCCUAUAGCUCUGGCAACUGGCAACUAUUCUGAAUUUCCACUCCGGACCUUCCCUUUAUGAGCGCCAAACAACUACUAGACAAGUAACUACUACAAAAACAUAGAAGGCAAUAAACUAAUAAUAACAGUUUUCAUGAGUUGUUAGCAAGUCCUAAUUAAUAGCGUCAGCGAGCUGAAAAGCGGUAGCGAGUGAAACUGCCUUUGUUUCAUCCUUUGAGUGACCAGUGGAAUUCCCGCUUUUUAGUUGAGUUACCUGUCCCCGAAGCCUAGUCCAUUAGUUAGUGGGUGGUUCGUUUCCUUGUUAUUGGAUAAAGUAUCGGAAACACCAGCUUAAGUCUGAUCGUAGUAGUGGAUUUCCAAAACAAAGUAAUAGAAACGGUCCUUGCAGUGAAUUUCCUUAUAAUAAGAUCAAGUAUGAGAAGGCAGUCGCCUAUUCUUGUAUGCCUCAUUAGUCCAUUCUUUCUAGUAUAGGACCAAGUCUGGUUCUCAGUGGGCUCAGUCUAAGAAGUAGGAGUCGGAGUCCCAUAAUCUAAUCGAGCGGAGACAUACUCUGGUUUAGGAGCAAGAGACUUGGCUACAGUAAAGGGAAGGGUAGACUGAUAGGUAGGAUAUAAAGUAUCUGGACCAGGAGUCUUAGGUUGAAACCAAGGAGAGGUCGCUUAGGUAGGGCAGGGCAUCCUAUAAAGCACUAGGUUUAGUUUGAACCCGAGGAAGGGUAGGCUGAUUGCUAGUAAAGCUGUACUUGAGUGAAGUAGUUCAUUUCUGUAUUCCCGGGGGGUUAACAGCUGUUUCAGUCUCAUUUGGGGGGUUAUCAUACCUAAGCCAGCAGUCACAGCCUUCAAACAGUAUUUGCAGUGUAUAGCCAGUAGAUUGAUUCCCUUUUUCGAGUGGAGUUGUUGUUGACCUUAGAUUCAGUAGUGCCAGGCUAUAGUCAGUAGCUGGAGAACGGCCAAGUAACUGCUGGACGCCAAGUCACUUCUAGACAAGACGACAGACAAGACGAGGAUAGACAAGCAGACAAACAACUAAGUAAUAGAAUCAUAGGUAAUAGGCUCCAAAGCUAAGUAAUAGAAUCAUGCCUUGUCUAAGAGCAGGACGAAUUGAACUACAAACUGGUAAUCGAACCUCAUACUUGAUCCUAAAAUAAGGAAUGGAACAGCUGUCAACAAGACUCUCCAUGGAACUAAGACCUAAGCUGCCUGCCUAAUUAUCUGUGUUGCUCCCGGAACCCUUGCUUGUUAGCUAAAGAAACGAGCUAAGGAAUCAAAACUUAGUGAACUCAACCCGGAACACAAGGAAAUCAACCAGUCACUGAAAGACUUAUAUCACUACGAGCAAUAAUCUAAGUCUGUGAAACUUAUGAGGCUCUCAACUAAUUACUAUUAGACUGAAAUCACUGCUAGCAAGGAUCCAACUCAACACUAUUGCCGCUACACUCUUUCAGGGCUGUUGGGCUUCGAUACGUAUCUGUUCUUGCACGGUUCCAACUCUGCUACUGCUAACUAAAAGAAUCGAUCUACCAACUCGGAAUCCUACAAAUAAUGGAAAGAAUCGAACAAGAGAAAAAGAAUCUAACUAAGGUAGUACGAUGUAGUGCACACUAAGCGUAGGUACGGGAUAGCGCAUACCAGCAGAUAGAAACAAACUACUGAUAAAAAGAAUGCGAUUAGCGCUUCUAAGACAAAAACCAAAUAUAAGGAAUUCACUAGUACACCAAUAAACUCGGACACCAAACAAUACUAGGACUUUUGAACUAGGAUUGAACCAACGUUAGCAAGAAGAAACUAGCGCGCUAAGAGACUGAACCGCAGAACUCAUAAUUGAACAAGAGAACAGGAAUGGAACUGCUACUUAAAGGGCUUGAACUAAUGCCUNNNNNNNNNNNNNNNNNNNNNNNNNNNNNNNNNNNNNNNNNNNNNNNNNNNNNNNNNNNNNNNNNNNNNNNNNNNNNNNNNNNNNNNNNNNNNNNNNNNNNNNNNNNNNNNNNNNNNNNNNNNNNNNNNNNNNNNNNNNNNNNNNNNNNNNNNNNNNNNNNNNNNNNNNNNNNNNNNNNNNNNNNNNNNNNNNNNNNNNNNNNNNNNNNNNNNNNNNNNNNNNNNNNNNNNNNNNNNNNNNNNNNNNNNNNNNNNNNNNNNNNNNNNNNNNNNNNNNNNNNNNNNNNNNNNNNNNNNNNNNNNNNNNNNNNNNNNNNNNNNNNNNNNNNNNNNNNNNNNNNNNNNNNNNNNNNNNNNNNNNNNNNNNNNNNNNNNNNNNNNNNNNNNNNNNNNNNNNNNNNNNNNNNNNNNNNNNNNNNNNNNNNNNNNNNNNNNNNNNNNNNNNNNNNNNNNNNNNNNNNNNNNNNNNNNNNNNNNNNNNNNNNNNNNNNNNNNNNNNNNNNNNNNNNNNNNNNNNNNNNNNNNNNNNNNNNNNNNNNNNNNNNNNNNNNNNNNNNNNNNNNNNNNNNNNNNNNNNNNNNNNNNNNNNNNNNNNNNNNNNNNNNNNNNNNNNNNNNNNNNNNNNNNNNNNNNNNNNNNNNNNNNNNNNNNNNNNNNNNNNNNNNNNNNNNNNNNNNNNNNNNNNNNNNNNNNNNNNNNNNNNNNNNNNNNNNNNNNNNNNNNNNNNNNNNNNNNNNNNNNNNNNNNNNNNNNNNNNNNNNNNNNUGACAGCCUUGGACUUACUAGUUGAGUUUCUGACUUAGAGUUAAGGUCUCUUAUGCCCGGAUCAAUUCCCUUUAUCGGUAUUCUCAUUCCCAUAGUAGUUGUAGUAGUGCUCCCAUAGCGGGUUCUCGCGGGGGACUAAACUGUAGAAUCAUAUACUAAGGUUUCAAUCAAUAGCGUAUAGAAUAGGUGCGUUUUACGUAAUUCAAGAUACUGUUUUGAUAUUACAAAUAAGGAAUAACAGUUAGAGUAGCACAAACUAUACUUUAGAUUAAGAGAAUUGCAAUAAGAAUACAGAACGAAAAGAGCAAGUCAAAGAAUGCAAUAGGAACAGCACAAGAUCGAACUAAUAAAUAAGAGAACUAAAGGGACCUAUCCGGAUAACCAUUACUGUCUUUCAUUAUGAAAACUAUCAUGCCCGGACUGAACGACACCUUUCACUCUUGAAACUUCCCUUCCUACUUACUGAUCUGUGGAAUGGACGAUCCUUGCUUUGCUGUAUCUAAACCGGACUUGACCUCCGCUCUUUAGUGUCAUUCUGAGUAGUACUUGUUUCAUUCUUAUUAAUAGUGGCGAACACACUGACGCUCGAAAUUAGGUUCACUCAGGAUUUGUUGUUUCAUUAAAAAGCUUAUCCGCCCUUAACCCUUCUCUUAGAAGCACAAGCACCGAACCAGUCAUCCGCCCUUAACCCUUUACCUUAUACUUUACUGAGAGCGCAUUAACAAGAGAAGAUCACUCCUACCGCCUCGAAGACAAGACUUGCUUAUAACUCAUUAAACCAUAUUAUUUGGCAAAACUGCUGCCGCUUUUCACUCGCUACCGCUACACAUUAGUAGUGACUUGUCCAGUUGUUUGGCCCUUGAUUUACCCAUUGCUUUAGAUAGUCCCUGAUAGUGUCGAGAAGAGAGAGCGCCCAGUGGUGCAAUCAUUUUCUUUAGUUAGUGGUCUGCCCCCCUAAAGCAAGGGGAUUACGUCUUAAAGGAAUGCUUGAUGGAUGUCAACAGUUAAGGGACAAAGAGAAGGUGCCUAGUCAUCAACACGAGCGAACCUGGGCAAUAGCUAUAGGCACUCAGGAUCAGAGCAGAUACGAUUGGUCAUGAACAUUUUAGUAAUCAACAGAGAUUCAAUGAUUUGUUGAUUCAGCUAGAGCUAGAGAAAACUCUGUAUUGGUUGACUGGCCCGUAUCGCACUACUGCUCUCAGUCAAGUAGCAAGUCAAGUAUGGUUGUUCCACCGCCCGGUAAGGAAGCAAAAGGGAAGAAGCUACGGUACAUGCAAGGGAACAAGCGAGUUCGCAAGGGCAAGAAAAUAGUACUCUUAUCUAGGGUUAGGUUGCCUCCAUUCAUUCUUCUUAUGCCUCUAUUAUAACUAUCCGUUUUUGUUUUGAGUCUGGUUACGCUAUGAUAUUGGUUGUUAUGUCAGUGAAAUGCUUUUGAACAAGCAACAGUGGAAUAUGGCAUUCCAGUAAAGUACUUGAAGUCAGGGUAGAAAGAAGAAAGUAACGUUGAAAGAAACAAGCUCGUAUCUCGUAUGAAAGCAGUAAGGAGUAAUAUGUUUUGUUACCAGGUAGUGUGGUCAGAAUAAGUUGUAGCAAGGUCGCCUCAAUUCUGUCUUUCGAGUUGUUCCGUCUCUCAGGUAUAUCUGUCUGUCCUAACUAAAUAAAGGCUCCGCUCAGGUCUCUGUCUCUCUUUCUGUCCUCUCCUAAAAAGAAAGGGCUAAGGUAGGUCCUAGUUAAGGGAUAAAGUCAGAAACCAAUGCUCCAGUAAGAGUUAUUACCCACUAGUAGCUACUAGUAUCAAAGGUGCUGUAGCUCGUUUCGUUCAGUUGUUUUUCCAGGAAUUGAGUCUAGCGUUACUAAUAUAGAAUUGAUGAAAAAGAGAGCGGAGCUAAAUAUCUAUAAUUCUGGUAACCUAAACCCGAAACUACAAUAAUUCAGAAGCUCAAUGUAAUCGACCCUUGCUGGUUCCAGAGACUCACUCUUACUCUAUUUAACAAGCUAUUUUAUUGCACCGUUACUUGUUCCGCUCCUUAUUCAAAAAGGUAUUAGCUAUUUGCGCAGAGUAAAGAGGUUAAACGACGAGCUAUGAGUUACUUGGCGCCUUGCCUAGUUGCUUGGCUCUGUCUCUCACCUUUGAAAGUAAGGAAGACAAGCUAUAGGAAUGAUAUCCCAAUUAGGAAAUGAGUCAGCUGGCAAGUAAGCGAGAGCGGGUAGUAUGAACUAACUGGAACUAGGGUAGGGCUAUUCAAAGCAUCGAGCAGUAAAGGCCAAAAUGCAGGGGAAUCAGCAGCGCGCUCUUUACAGCCAUAGUUUGUGUACGAGUCUAAUUUGAGGUUGAAUCAUCAGAGGACAAGGAAGAUGACAUCGAAUAGGCUCUUUCGGGUGCAGCUUUGAAUGAAGGAAUGGAAUCUACAGCUAUGGAAUCGGUUCUUGGCAUAUCAGCUCUUGUGCACUCCUAUUGGGAAAGUCCUAAUAAAGUCCAUUCUUUUGACCCCGAAUACGCUCUUUCCACUUUCCACUUUCUACUUGCAAUAUACUGACUUUCCACUUUCUACUUGCAAUAUAGUAAGGGGUCGCAUUAACCACAAGAACAUUAUUGGAUUUUGGUUGCGCUUACGGAGUUACGCUAGUGAGUUUGCUGGAACAAGAAGCAACGGCUGGCUAGAAAGAAGCAAGCAACUUACAUCUCUGAGGCCUCUAUGUCUUUUGCACUAAAUCAAACAAGCCCAGAAACUAAUAAGCAUAAGCCCUACUGAACAAGGACAAGUCACAAAAGAAACAAGGGCGAGAGCAAGGACGAAAACAAGGACGAAAACCAGGGUAUAUAGUCGAGUCGUUCAUUUUCUUUGAUUUCGCCUAAGUGCUAAUGUGAGUUAGCUAAGUGAGUUAUAUUGGAUUAAGACUUGAACCAACACAGUCCCUAUAGCUCCCCUAUCAUACUUGCAAGUAUCAAGCUCAAGUUGAGUAUCCCGUUGGUGUAUCUAGGUUAUGAACCUCUCCUUUAUAGUAGCAGACCGGCCUAGGCCUAACAGUUUUGUUUAGGUAGACACUUUCUUUGGGCGAGAGAUCGUAUAGACUGGAUACAGUGGAGCUAAUACUUUAGACUCAAGCGCGUAGUGGCGUGGGCUAAGCUUUAUACGACAACUUUCAACCUACUCCACCAGCAACAGCGGAACAAUCACCUUAACUCUCUAACACACUCGUGUCUGGCCUGGCGCCAAGUCCUGUGUCUACCGACCUAAACUAUAACUAGCAAUUAUCCUUCUUCUGAUCCUGGCACACAUCUUGGUUAAGGCUAUACUAGCAGGGCUAUAUCGUAUAACAGAAAGGAAAUACUAUGCUUCCCCAUCUUAGUAAUCUGAUCCUACUUGUGGAAUUGAAACUCUCUUCCCUUUAGCCGAGUAAACAAAGAAUGAUCUUUCGAGGGCGGAAGUUUGCCUAGAGGAUCUUCUUGCUGUAAAAUAAGGAAUUGCAUCUUUUGAUCGGCGAGUCCAUACUGAAUUUGGGUAUUACAAAUAAUAACGAUAUAUAUGACUAUAGCUUGUUUCGACACCUCGUGCAUUAUGUUGUAGGGCCAGGCCAGUACUAUCUUCUGCUUUAGUCUCUUAUCUUGCUGAAGACCAAUACCCUGCUUCCAAUCUAUCUUCUUCUCUUUAUUCGACUUCUGAUCUCUAAGACUUAACAAGAACUGAAGAAACCUGGACUUAUACAAAAUGUAGUGGUUAGCUAGCAGGGCGCACUACUGGAAGGGAAGGAUGCUAUAAAUCAAUGUGACGCACUACAGGAAAGAUGCUUUUCAUCUCAGUAUUGGGAACUGGUCUAUGGUUCUAAAAGAGAAUAUGCAUUUCAACAGCUUUUCGGUCAAUGGUAGAAGGCGAAGGCUAAAGUCAGUUGCAAGCAAUUCAGAAAGGGAAUAACUCGCUAACGAAAUGGGCAAAUCAAGUAGAUAGUAUGGUAGAUGCGCUUAAAGAAGUGGAAAGUUCCAUAAGUAUACAGUCUGGUAUCAAGAAACAAGCAAUCUUCUCCUAUCUUCCCUCUGCGCAAGAUGAACAAGUAACAGAACGAGCGGAGCAAGCCGUGUAGCAGGUAGCCCAAAACUCCUGACACAACUCCUUACAUUCUGUCGCUGCCGCUUUGAACUCGCUCCAUCUUUCCGAUAGGCUUCUCCAUGGGGGGACCCAAUUAGGAUCAAUAGGAUUUGGAUAAGCGAAUCGCUUUCGAGGCCUCAAGGAUUGCCCAUUCAUUAAAUAAGGUGCUUGCUUUAGUUCUUUGCUGUAGUAGAGGAGGCUCAUCAAUGAUUGGGAACCAGAAUGUGGGUAUUUCACUAGAUGCCCCUCCAUUGAUCUUGGCUUGCUUCGUUGCAUUCAUUCAUUCAUUGUUUGAUUCUUCGGGCUUCUUACUCUUCCGUCCAUCUUACUAAUAAUAAUGGCAUGGCAAUCGGUCAAAGGCAAAGUUGGAAUUCCGGAAAACACCAAGAAGUAUCCAUUAUUAAGCGAAAAGAUGUGAUCUGAAAUUAUGCACGAUUUACGGGGGUUGUCUUCCUUUCUUGGGAGUGAAGCAAUGAGUUGGGUAAGCUUUCUUGGGAGUUAAGCGAUGAGUUGGGUAAGCUUCCUAAGGGUAUGGCUUCUCCGGGGCGACUAAGGACACACCAAACCAAACGAUCGGUAAACGGGUCUCCUUUUUUACAAUCUCCUACGCUCGCGUACGGUUGUUUUCAAAAAGUCGUGCAAUCAAAAAGCAUUCUAUGAACGAAUUCCUUCAUAGUCUGAAUAGAGUCAGUAGAGUAGAGAGAAAUGGCAUAGUCUUAUAAGUAGAGUAGAGAGAAAUGGGAGUCAGCCUUUGGUAUUAAGUUAUGAUUACUUAGUUCCUGUCUAUCUCUAUCUAGAAUAAUAGAUCCUCUGUGAAGCGGAGAAAGAUCCGUCCAGUAUUUAGAACUAGAUUCGGAAAAAUGACAUACUGAAUAAAACUAAGGUGAGGCGAGUUUCGAUUAACAAAAAGUGGAGUAGAAAGAAGACUCAAUAAAAAAGAAGAAGGCGACACCCCUUGCUGCCUUUACGAAGAUUGACAUUCUUUGCUUCUUUUUGUUGUUUGAAAUAGGACCGGGCCGGGUAGAAUCAGGUUGUAAAGAAAGAAACCGACAGAGUGGGGGAUUGUACUGUCCUCCUCACUGACCCCAAAGAAGAUGGCUCUGUCGCUAAGCAGGCCGGCGGAGAGGACACUCAAAAAGAAGAAAACCCACAAAUAUGCUAUGCUUAACACAAACGGUCCCCCCGGCGAUCGACCAUACGCACCGCGGACGAAGCGUAGAGGUGACUUUAGUUUGUUGUACCGGAGUGGUUCAUCAUCAAAAGAACAACAAUGGGUUGUAGCAUUUCCUAUUCAUUUGGAUAGGGAAGAGAAGAGGGCUUGAACGUCUGGGGCACUAUACAAUGACCACUACGAACGAAGGGCCCAACGACUUUCACUUUAGGAUCAUAACGAACUAUAUGCUUAUCUGGUGGAUGCGCGUUCUUGGGCAGUUUCACCUCUCUAACAAGAAAGAAAGUCAUAUAAGAAAAAGAAGAUGACGCCCACCAAUAAGAGUAUGAGUAAAUAAGGGUCCCGUUAAUCCCGAAACGCAAGUCGAAGGAACCCCGCCAAAGAAAUCCAAUAAAAGGGGUGACCCCUGAAAGCCCGGCCAAGCAACGAGUCAAUCAACGAGCUUCUUUCGCACUGCUUCCCUUUUGCUUACUUACUAUUUCCAUUCAUUAUUCUUAUUAGGGUAAUCCCCGAAUCAGUAGAUAGUUCUGAAUUCUACACUCCCUUCGCUGAUUCCCUUUCUUAUUCCCCGUAUAGUAUGGAAUUGCCAGUUAUUGAACUCUGUCUCAUAUCCGAUACCGUAGUCAACUAAUAUGAAACAAUAAAUACGGAAUUAAGGAGCAGCUUUCGGGUCAGUUCUUGUUUAUUAACUUACACUUACAUGAAAUAUUCAGUAGGUCACUGGAACAUCAGCUGUUCGAAGGGAACUGGUUAGGUUUCUUAGUUAUUAGGGGAAUGCGCUAGAUCUUACCCGCUUCAUUCUUCUCUGUAAACUAAUCAAGUUAGGGCAACUUACUAUAAGGCCUACCAGAUUUCACGAGCACAAGAACUCCCCUUUCCUCUCUCUCCUCUGUACUAAUUGCGGUAACUAAGAUAAGAUGUACAAAGAGACUCCUGUAUCUUGCUAGCUCACCAAUUAGUGGAAUUCUGCAAUUCCUUAGCCCGAGUGUAGCUAUAGCACAGGUUUCAGUCUGACUUUACUACUGGCUCACCUCGCCUACUUACAAUAAAAGUACUUGCACCCGAUGAGACCUCUCUACUUCUAGAAACCCGACCUAAACUAUGGCUAUGUACUCUUUACUACUCUACAACACCUCCGGCUCCCGAGCACAUAGCAAGUAAUAAAUACAUUAUAACGUGUUAUUUCAGAGUCCUAUAUUGUACCAUUUCUUUUGAUACCUUAGGCUCCUAGGCAACUAUUAACUGAACUGAUGAUAAAGCUUCCUCAGCUGCUCUUUCAACUACUUCUAUAUAAGAUGAAACUAGGGAUUCUACUAUAGCACCGAACUACCCUAUGGCAACUCGGGAUGUCGCCUAUACUAUUGAUUGCCUCUGUACCCGCUCUGGCUUAUUCUUAUUUCUCUUGGAUACAUUCCUCGAGCAGUCUCAUCUCACUCAGGAUAUCCCUCCAUCUCAUCUACCUCUCCUCGAAAGUGAACUUAAUUAAUUGUCUUGCCCGACCCGACCUCAACUGGAACUGCUCCUGCUGCAGAGAUAGGGUAGGUUGUUUCUACUCGUAUUCAGGUUAAGGUAAGGCACACGUAUACUUAGUGGAUUGUCCGUCCUUGCUUGUUAGAGCAUAGGUAGGUUGUUUCUACUCGUAUUCAUUAUGGGUGUUGGCGGUAACCCCUCUUUCUGUGUUCACUAAUUAAUACAAUAUAUACCUCUGGAACAAUACACUCAACAGAUGGAGCACUCCACUUCUUUUCUUGUCCAAGCCAACAACUUAUGAAGUGUCAACUCACGCGGAAUCUCUUUCGCGGUAAACUCGCAUUGCCACAAUUGAUUGAAGAGACACAGAACGCCUUGUUUCAUUUCCAUUCGAUAUUGAUGGUUGUCAUAGAAUAAAGUGAAAUGUCUAACAGUCCAUUCGAAUUCGAGUUUGGCACCCACUUCUAGUUAAUGCUCGUUUUGUUUGCUGUAAGCCCCUGUUUAAGCCAAGUGAUAGGGCUGGGCGAACCCCUGUGACAAAUGCAAAUACGUAGCUUAUAUCUCGCUCACUUUAUACUUACCCGCUAUUUUGGUUUGGGUAUUCGAAAAGAUCUGAUAUCGCUGUAGAGAAAAGAGAUAUUCGGCUGAGGCUUGGGCAAAGGGCAACUUACCCAUCUAUGUGGUUACAUCAAUGCUAUACAAGACCCUUACCCUAUCUUUCUACUGAAACAAAACUGGAUAUUGGACCUGGAACAGGCAAUUCAGCUGCUGACUCUCCUCAAACAGUCAAAUCACAGAAUGGAAAUAAUGCGUAUCGAGUACUAGAAGAAAGUCAAUACGCUAACUCUUUGGCUUUUGCUGAACUAUCCUUUCCGCGGGCAGAUGAUUCUCUACUCCCCACCAUUUGUUCAAAGCAAGUACUUGAUUCUUCCAAUUAAUAAGGGCAGUCUCAGGGCCAAGCCUAGCUACGUAAGCAACGAAUAUAGAAUACCGGGGGACUCUAUUCUUAUCGGAAGGUCUUCCCCGGCUUAUGGUCUUUCUUCCUCACCAGCUCCAUCUUCUUCUUUCCUAACCAGCUCCAUCUUCUUCUUUUGAUUCUUCUUCAGAAUAAGGGGUCUAUCAAUCUAUAAGGGGUCGGGGUGUAAUAUAAGAAAGAAGGUAAUCAACUCUCCUAUAUGAAGUGAUCUUGGGUUUUCUAUAUAAAGAGAAUAUAGAAUGAAGUAGGGGACAAGCUAACAAAUAUUCUAGAUUUCUUCUAUGCUUAACACAAGCACUUUCUCCUAUUCUUUUCUUGGACACCGAACCUAUAUUUCAGUGGAACUAGACUAUAUUCUUGCCCCCACGAGGUAAAGCCCUUUCCAGAUGCACUACAGGUCGCUAGUACUUUCUUCCUUAAGCCUAGUAGUUUGAGUCGGAAAGCCUAGUAGUUUGAGUCGGAAGCUAACAAGCAAGGACAGUGCCCCGAAACUAUAAAGAAGCACCCCGCCCGAACACAAUAAGCGUAAGCUAUAGGCUUGUUCCGUUGCUUGUUCUCCAAAGAAUAGAGUGCCAAAUCAUAGAAUUGAGCGUGACGUGACACAUAUAGAUUCAAGUCACCUAAACUCUGAAUGACACAUAUAGAUUCAAGUCACCUAAACUCCGAAAAACUAAAGCACCCCGACUCGCUCACUAGCGCCCUAGAUUCUUCCCCAACUCUCAAUCAUUUCUUCUCUAUAGCAUAUGAUAUACAAAAGUAACAAAACACUGGCUGGUGACUCUAAAGAAUGGAAUUUCUGCAAAGGGUCAACCGCUGAAUAAGAUCAUUAUUGCCUUGCUUCUUGUUCGAAAGCUGUUGCUUCGCCCUUGUUUGUUCCCUAGCUUAUUCACUGCCUUUACUUGAGACUUUCACUGACGUAGAGCUACUAUAAACGAUAUAUGAAACUAUAGCCAAUGAGAACAGUAGCUUGCGGACUUCUCUUUUGGACUUCUCUUCUGGAACUCAACUUCAAUGAAAGUGUACUGACCGCAUAAAUGGAGUGAGUUGGGCUAUAAAAUGAGGUCAAUAAGGGCAUUCUCAUCGUUUCACCCACGUGACGUUCCACUCUACCUUCAAAGCUCAAGAUCCGGCUUAGAACAAGGAUUAUAAGCUGUUCAGUUCGCCCGAUAGAAUGAAUCCCCAGUGAAGUCAGCAGCCCUUUUUGAGUCUCCUUCAUAAAGUAGUAGAUGUGAGUGCUAGUUUGAUCUUAUAAGGAAGCAGUUCCAGUUUCAUCCUACACAGAAGCCGAAGAUCAUCUCAAUGAAUGACCACCUAGCGCUUCACUUUAGAAGUCAGGGUAAAAGGCUUGAACGCCAAGAUUGAGAGUCGCCCCACUUAUUUGAAACUCAUCUUUUAUGGCCCACGUAACGGAGCUCAUGUCUUAGAACCAUGUCAGUGAAAUGAAAUAGAAAUCCGUCUAAGAAUAAUGUCUGCUCAAACAAAACAUGCCCCAAGACAAGAGCAGAUAGUUUCAGAGGCGAAACAUGCCCACCAAGAGCAGAUAGUUUCAGAGGGAAUAAGCGCGUUAAGAAGAAGCUAUGCUCUGAGGAAGCAGAAGAUGCAAGGGAGCAAGCUGCUAUAACAAUAACUAGUUUCGUUCCUGGAGCUCACAGUCAUAGAUAGAGGUGAUUGGCUUUACCUUUGCCUGAUUGUCCCGCUGUAUCCGAAAGUACUUAAGUCUAGUGAUGUUCCUUCGAGUGUUGUCUACGAGGUUGGUUCUUUGCUUUCUCUUUGCGCCCUAGCUUUCAUCAUAAUCAUAUUUCUGAUUCUUAUGUCCUACCCUAAACCAAUUACACGUUAGCACUUAGGUGAACUCAAUUCAACAAGCAAAUCCACUUCAUAAGGACAGAAUCAAGCUUACUCUACAGGGCGUCGAGAUAUCAAAUUCUAUCCACUAUACUAUAUACUCUUCCUUGAAACCGCUACUCCUUUAAACCAGACUGCUACACUUAUUUAAGACUCAAUAAGCCAAGCAACCAACGGCUUUCUCGUCACUAACUAACACGGAGUUUCUAUGGAACAAGCAAUGUAUAAUUAAGCACGUUAGAAACUGACUCACAUUCGAUUCUUUCUUUUGCGCUCAAUGAUAAAUGAAACGGGCGUUAGCAACGCAAAGAACCCCUUAUUGGAGUUUGAUACUUUCGUGGCAUCCCUUUCCCUACCGCUUACAGCUUCAUCUGGGCAUUCCUCUCUGGAACCGGAUUCUUCUGUUCUUAACUCGAACGGAAACAGACUCAUAUUCCGGCAAAGUUGAAGAAUAAAGGGCCUAGACUUGACUUUGAUGCUUGGACUAUACCUCCACUCGGGAAAGCCUAUCGUAGACCUAAAGCCAACUACUUCCCUCUCUUUCUCUGGUCGCCAACUGUCAACUCCUUGAAACUACCUUCCCCCUUUAGCGCAGAGGAAAACUCAGAAUGAAUGGAAUCUUGAGAGCGCCUUGUUUCAUCAUUUAUGGAAUCUUUCGGUUCGAGCACAUUUGUAUAGAAUAGAUUGAGUUACCUACACAACUGUUCUGCUUUUCAUUAUCAUUUGCCUGCCUUCUAAGGUGUUAACCAAAGAGCAUAGGUAGUUUGUUUCUCCUCGUAUUGAGUACACCGUAAUUAUUGCUUGUUCCAUUUGCUUUUACCAACCAAAGGAGAGUUAUGACGACGUCCCACAACUGCUAUCGCUUUUGUCUCUAACCCCAUCUUUUAUCGUAUCGUUGUUUAUCCUCCGAGAAAUACCUUUUAUGGGAAAUGUGUGAACCUAAGAAAAGAAGCAUUCCUUAUAAUGCAUUUCAUCCUAUAAUCUUGACCCCUGUUCUCUGUCCUCAUAAUCCUAGCUCUCCGCUCUUUCCUUGUGCUGUAGCUCUUGCCUACGCCAGUCGUUCCCCGUCUGUAGUGGGUCUCAUCUUUGUUGUCUGAGGGAAGUCUCUCCACCCAACCAAGGAGAUAUCUUCGCGAGUAGGUAAUAUAAGAAAUUCAUAGGUGAGGUGAGUUUCCGGGGCCCCUUUCCCGAGUGAGUAGUAAGUGAGUCUGUGUACUGCUUUCUGUGCUAGGUAAGUGUAUCAUUUAUCUUCUAACUCAAAAGGUUAAUGAUGUUCUGUUACGCUAGAGUAGAAAAUCCUAAGAGUACUGGUAUGUGAGCUAGGUACGGUAUGAUAGAAAAAGGUCACUCACCCCCUCGCUAUAUAGAAUAAUGUUGACUAAAUAGAAAAUAUAGAAUAAUGUCUACAUAUAGAAUAGGUAAUAGAGAAAUCCUCAGUAGUAGCGGCGUAGUUGCUUGGUCGCCACAUUAGUCGUGGCUUGGUCAUUAGUAGUUGCUUGGUGAAUCAAACUCACAACUCGGGCUUUUAACUGAAACAGGGAAUUGCACUCAUAAGUCAUAAAUCAGCAACUGGGGCUUUCAACUCAAAACAUCAAAUAUGACUCCUUUGCUAGUAAGUAUCGAACUCCAGCAUACAAGGCUAUAGCUCAAACCAUGAAUCUAACACCGCUAGCGCAACUUUCACUUCAAACAAGGAAACGCACUAAUGCUCCCAAGGCUUAUUCCUAACUUUCUUUCUUUAACUAUGGAAACCGAAUCUGACUCUCUCCUUUAAGGCUUAUACUUAUUGCUCGAAUUCUCACUUAUGUUUUUUCCACUCCCUUCUUCGAGCAUACCUCUCUUUGUUUUGAAACUGAAACCCAUUAGCGGCAUUCCCCAUCUGUUGUUUGAGUCCUUUAAUGCUUUAUCUAAUUCUCCAACAAGUGUGUGCUCCUUAUACUUGACCCACUGGCUCCUCAUCCUUUUCCUGAUAAUAAGGAAUGAAAAUACUACCGACAAGGAUCGAACUAAGCAGUCCAAGGCCAAGCCAAUCAACAGUCAGAAUUGAACUAAGUUGUUUAAUUCAGUACUUGCUCCCCGGCUAAGCAUCCUGGCUAAGCAUACUGUCCCUUACGCUACUCCUACUAGAAGUAACUACAACUCCCGGUAUCUCGGGCUAAAGUCUGCUACCGGUAAACUGCUCCUGACACCAUGAACACUUGUCUAGUCGUUGCUUGGCCCCCCGCAUCAAAGCCAGAUCUUUCGAUGCUCUUGUUCUUGCCCCGGACAGGAUGGACUUGCCCCGGACAGGAUGAAUGUAUUAUUGUUGCUCUACUACUUGUGUGAAGCAAUGAGAAAAGAGAGAUAUUCAGUAGUGUGAAGCAAUGAGAAAAGAGAGAUAUUCAGCAAUUAGAGUGUCGGUGCUAUAGGUAAUGAUGGUGCCGGUGCUAUAUGCGAUGGUUGGUGCUCUAGCUCUAAGUCUGCUCGGUGCUAUACUCUAGCUCUAAGUCUGCUCGGUGCUAUAAAAGAAGUAAAUGCGCUACCAAUUAGGUAUUAGGGCCUAUUGCUAGUAAGUAUGGGAAUGCGCUACCAAUUAGGUAAAGAGGGAAGUCAAUUAGAGAAUCAGAGGUUGGAAAAGAAAGGUGAACUCUGGUAUGCCUGCUUAGCCUGUAUGCCCGGUAUGCCAGCUUGGCCCCUAUUCUGAGUAUUCUAUCUGAAACUAUUUAUUUGAUACCGGAAUGAGGCUAAUCCACCUUAAUUAUGACUUGAACUUAUGGUUUCUAUCCCUGUUGCUACUGUUGCUUGUUGAGUAGUGUCUUGGCGGUUAACUCUUUUGAACCGAGCCCAGAGCAGAGGGAUUCAGCUACCCCAAUAGCCUAGCCUAGGUAUGAUUUGUAUAGAUUUGUUUGUAACAGGACAGGCGAGCACCCAGCUUUUCUUCUUUAGAAGAUGAUUUUACCCGAAAUUCUUAGUGUAGUCCAGCUCCAUCUGUGGCAAACGGGAACGAAAGGAGGUCCACUCUAUUCUGAAAGGCGGGAGCGGGGCUUGACUCUGAUCUUCUCUUGCUCCUACUUACACGGCAAAGGAUGAAGUUUCUUACCUUGGGCACAGGGCGAACAGAGAGGUAUCGGAUAAGAAUGCAGUUGGAUGAGAUGCUCUAGUCCAGAGGAAAGGUAGGCGAGAAAGAGGAGAAUUCCAUUAGUUGACUUAGCCACCGGGUAUCUCGGGCGAAAGUCUGCUACUGGCCCUUAAGUGAAUUGGUGAGAGUGGAGGUUGGAAAUGCAUAAAGUACUGGCGGCGAGGUAGACUUUUGAGUUGUUUGUUGGCGCAAGGAAAGGUGCUUGCUUGCCCUAUUCUUAGUUGCUAUAAGAGUAGUUGACCCCAUUCUUAGUUGCUAUAUAUAUGUUUACCCCAUUGUUAGUUGCUAUAUAUAUGUUAACCUCAUUGUUAGUUGCUAUAUAUAUAUCAGUAGUUGAAAUACACUAGAUCGGACCCGCACUGGAAAGUAUCUCGGACUAGAUCAGAUCCGCACUGGAUGGAUUGUCUCUCUCUAAGCCAACUACUCCGAUAACUACUAGGGAUUCUAUCCCACUUUCAUUCUUUCUUAUAACAGAUAGAUAACGGAUUCCACAAGCUCAGCAGAGCCAGCAGGGUUCUCUGUCAGCGAACCUCUAUCCCAGUAGAUACGCUCAUGUGAGAGAUAUCGAUGCUGCUCCAAGAUACGAUAAACAACCACGGGAAUCUUCAGUUCUUCAGAAACUUUGAGAAAGCCGGAAUAACCCUGUGAAAGAGUAUUUUCCAAAAGGCAGCCAGCUUAGAGAAGUUGCUCGGGGUGACUCGUUGAUUGUAAUCUUAUUAUAUCAUUAUAGUUGUAAGGAAAAAGUUCGGUGGGGAAGGCCAAUUUAUUUGUGAUUUGAGAAAUUGUGAUUUGAUUGUUUUCCAAGGUAAGAAACAUAAGCCUACCCGACCCCAGUAAUAGAAUGAGUAGUUGAGUUGAGGUCACCACCCUAACAAGUCAGUCAACAACACUACCCGAGUGAGUAAACCACCAGCCAAGGAACUACUACUGUGUAGCGGCAGGAGUUCUUUCAGCACCCGAACGCUCUCCCAUACCUUCCUCCCACUGCUAAUGCGCUAUAGAUUGUACCCCAGAAAUAGAAGCAAGUAAAAGAAUUUCUGAAUUGAGAAUGGACCUCUGCUCUUACCAAGCCCAGUUGAUCUGGCACCCUCGAAAGUCACAUAAUAGUAAUACUAAUAGUUCUUUGACUCCGAUACAUCUUUCUUUUCUUUCCUAUUUACCUAAACUCCGACUUAUACUAAUGACUCUUUCUGAACAGAACCACUUGCCCUCUGAUUUGAUUGAUUUCGUAGUAGAAUCCUUUCACUACUGACUAUCGGAUUGAAGCCCGAGCUAGGUAAGAUAGAAUCCAAUCCGGUAACACUUCGCCUAGUACUCUUUCUUGCGAACCCUACUUUCCCACGAGUCUGUCUCCCUUAGUUACAGUCAGAGAAGAAGACCGGUUAGUAGAUCCCUUAUUCUGAUUAGUCGUGGUUUAAUACUUUGUAGACUCCUUUCUUUCACUCCGGACUCCUUUACUAGUAUACGCUUGGCCCCGCUUCUGAUCUUUCGUAUGAUAGCUAAGCCAGAAGAGAGUGCACAACCAAUGUCAGAGAGUAAACAGACACUGCAUUGCUUUCAGGCUCAAGAGCAAUAGGGCGAACGGCGAACUCAAAGAAAUCUGGACAUAUAGGAGGACAAUAAGUGUUUAGUUUGUGAAUAAGUUCCAGAACUCAAGAUAGCUUAAUGAUUUUCAAGAAGCAACUCGGGUCGGGGUGCGAAAGAAGCUCAUGGAGUGGAGUCUCAUAUGGAUACAGUAAUUAGAGAAUCAUAGGUGUUUGUGCCGCCUUCCCUUGUUUGUCCCGCCUUCCAAGUACUAAAUCAAAGUGAGAGUUCUGUUCUGCUCGCCGCAAGCGGGUUCGAUGUCGGUGCUUGACCUAGUAGUGGUAAAAGUGAGUUCAUUGAGGAUGAGGAUGCCCAAUAUUGAUUCUUUUCCUUAAGCAAGGGAACAAGCCACAGAAUCAGUAUACGGAUACUGCUCCAACUCUAACUCUAACUGCCAAGCCAAUGAAGACGGGCGAAUACGAUUCUAUUAACUCCUAUAACUCCUAUGUAGUAACUAUUGAAUACCUUAACAGCGGACUAGCGCAUUCAUAGUCUCAAAAAGUAUGUAUUAGGAGUUUCAGAUCCUUUAUUUAUUAUUAUUCGACUUACUAAUACUUACUUGCUACAUCAUUAUUCAUUCUAAUACUUACCAUUGUGAAGUUACUUCUAAGAAUCCGAAUUCAACAGGAAAGUUGGAAUGGAAUUGUUGAGUACAUAGCAGGUUAAGAGCAAACCAGCAAGGCGACUUGUGCAUUUCAUUCUGUAUUCUUAGUUUUCUUCUUCUACGAAGUGUGACCUGAUACUGGGCUAGGGAAGUGUUACCGGAUACUAGGUUGGGACCUUCUUAAGAGCACACAGUUGGUUACCAGAUUCUCUAACAAGUGCUCCAUAAGAGAUAUAUGACAAUUAUGACUUUACUAUAGCGCAAGUCCUGGUUUCGAGUACAGGCUUUUAAGCCAUAACAGUAGAGAGCGCAUCUUAAUGACUUUCGAGUUGAGUUCAAAGACUUAGUGGGGAGUUUACAUUCCUAAACGGCAAGGGAGUUCGGACUGCUUCAUAAGGCUUAGAUGCGGGUAGGUAAUUCUCAAUAAAUAGGAUUUUCUGAACUUCAAGAAGAGUUCGGGAAAAGCAAAAGCAAACCAACCUGUUAGGUUACGGAAUUCCAUACAUGUGCUCGAAAGAUGAUUUGAAUGUUGCUCCACCUAUUGCUGGCUCUGCUCUAAAACAUAUUAUUGCUGGCUUUGCUCCACCAGCUUACUGCUUGCUUUAGCCUCCGAUUCUCUCGCUUACUUUUUCCAAUAAAAAGGGGCUAUCCAGAAGCUCUGCAUCGCUAAAGUAUAAAGUCAGGGGCUCCAUAGUGGAUCUCGCCAAAGCAUCCUUUCUUUCUUAGCACCAAAGCAUACUCACUUACAACUGUGAAACUACACUCCAUUAGCACAAGUCAACAGUCAAAUCUACUACCCCCAGAGGUAUAAUAAAUUGAAGAUAACUAACCCAGUGCUCUUCACCCACCUCCCCGCUCGCUACCGCCACGAAGACCCAAUUAUGGAGUUUUCGGGUUUACAGUAAUAGGAAACUAGGCAAGUCGACUUGGCUGACCUCGAACUGGAACAACAGGAAAUGAAGCAGCUGACACUCGCACAACGGAUUCAGUUACUGCACAGCAAACAAAUCAAUUAUGGAAUCUCCAUCUUGAUCUUGUGCAUAUCUAAUAGGAAUUGACUCUAGAAAACCUAUCGCUGUCAGGUCAACUCAACCAAGCACUUAGCUAUAACGUUCUUAUGCUUUAUGAACUCCACUUUCUUCACCGACUUAACUGUCAACUUUCAACCUUACUAAACUUGAUGAUUCUUCAUCGACAACAAACAACACUAGUUUAUCGCGCAACUGGUAACUUACCCUUUAGACUUUACCUUACCACCGGAGGAGAGCUUAUUUGAUUUCUAUUGUGGAUUAAACUCGCACCGAACCUUUCUCUACCGACUCGGGAAAGCGAUUCAAUAAGGUAGAUAGGAUUCAACAAUAACCUCUCUGCCAAUAACCUCUAUCUCUUGGGGACAACGCAAGAACAGACAGAAACAACACUGCUUAAGCGUUAAGUGGGCAUUAAAAAGGAGAUCUUCUUCUUAAUACGUACGAUUCCACUCGCCCAGCUUCUUUAUCUUUAAUAGAUUCCACUCGGGAUUAAACGGAAAGAAGAUAGUACUGGUGUGCGAUAUGAUGAAACUAGAACAGCACUUUCAACACCACCUAUUGCUGCUGACAAGCGAACUGAAUUAAUGGCCUUAACCGCUACAUGGGCAUGAGAUCCUGAAAAUACAGAUGAAACAGGACUACUACUUGUCAACUGGAACAGCUAGGAAGAGAGAAAACCAGCUUGAAAUGGAAUUCUUUUAGGCUUUUCUGGCUCCCGAAGACAUAGCAAGUAAUAAAGAAAUUGUACUGUAAACUUGUAUAUAAGGGUCCACUCCACUGUAAAGAACUUAACUCUACACACUGCAACAAGCGACGGAGCAAGCAACGCCCUCCCGCUUAUAUAAUGACACUACUCGUAACUCCUAUAACUAGCAAGUCAAUACAGGAUUUCACUGAACAAAACUCCCGUAAGCGCAUCUCUGAUUUUCUCUCUUAUCUUAUCACUCUUGCUGCGCAGAGGCUUUCACUCAUAAUAAAGUCAUAUUACCCUGUUUCUAUACUAAACAAUACUGGCUUCUUUCCCUGAAGACUCUUCCAGCGCAGGAGCAAGUCAUCAAGUUCAAGGACUGGAGACGCUGAAUCCGUUUCUCAUUCCAUUCUGUCUUUACUGUGGGGUUACAUAGGAUUAUUGUUGCCAACUAAUACGGCCAACUUCGAUUACACUCGCACCGAUACAAUCACCUGAACCUCUCGAGUCGACAACAAACACUCGCACAGAACCUUGAUACAGUGGAGGUGGAGCUGACUUUCGCCCUUGAGACUUUCCUUCUUCUGUGGCUUCUGAUCUCGCUUCUGCUUCAAAGCUAGUAUAAGAGAUUCUGUCCUUCAUCCUUCUUUGACACCUGAUCGCAGAGGCGGUCACUCUUUUCUCGCUGCUUUCAAUAUGAAGUUGUCAAGUGAAACAGUCAAACUAACCUGCCUAUAAAAAGAAGGAAGAUUACCCACGCCCCCGCUGCUAUACCCUUCACUGAGCUCUGUUGUGGUAGGUUUGGUUUUCCCUUUGCUGAACCUCUUGUAUAGAGGGUUGGAAUAUGACCUGUAUCUAUGCAAUACCCAGCAUCCUUAUCGUAUGCUUAUAACCUAACCCUGAUGUUUGCUCCUAACCCAGUUGACCCGUGCCCUUAUUGAUAUAACACUCGCUCGCACAGCUUCUGCACUUGCUGGUUCAGCUACCUAUGCUAUGCUCUUUGGUUACUACUUUCUUCUAUAUAAUGUCAGUCAGUUGGGGGGAAGUCUCAGAAUCAUGUCAGUGAUUUGAAGAACCAACAACAGGACUUGAAUGUCCAUCUUUAUCUUGACAUUAAGAGUUUGUACGAAUUAGGAACUUGUUCCGUUUUCAUAGUACUAGCGUUGAAACAAGGUGUGGUGGAGUAUCGGAUUCAAAAGAAAGGGAAGCUCCUGGGGAAAAUCAUUCUAUACCAUAGCUCACUAACGCUGGGUAAAGGCAUUCUAUACCAUAUCUAACUAACGCUGACUUUCCGGCUCACUAUAGCGGAACGGGCCCUCAAUCCAUUCUUAGUUCCGUGCAGAAUCUAUUACAUACUUUCUUUGCAGCUCGCCCGUUAGCGCAGAUCAAUUUCACUGUUAACUCAACAACUCUGGUGGGCACCCCGGAGAGUAAUCGUUAUCGCCUUGCUUGUUUUAUUGACUUUAGCUCCAACAGAAAGGAAAGGAUUAUUUCCGAGUUACCGACAACUACGUCGUAAUAGCCGGGCCACAUAAGGGAAGGGUUCCGGCUGUAAACCCAUAUUUCUGGUCAUUUCACCUAUGUCUUGCGGAGCUUAUGGAAAAUUCGCUAUAAUAGGAGUUUCCCGCGACUCAAAAGAAAAUAGGAUCUUGCUUCCGGCCUGGCCUCUGAUUAAAGAGUGGACUUUUCUCAAUUACCUCUCUAUACCGACUCGGGAAAGCCAAUCACUUCUAUCUCUCCACGACCGACGUCAAUUAGACGACCACUGUAAGCUUCUGAAAAGUUAUAUACUUCAGUAUCAGUACCAAUACCACCGCACUCAUAAGGGUGUUUAGUGACUUUCUUUUCUUCUAUUCCUAAAAGAUCUAUAAGAAUGAUUCUUCUAUUCUAUAAGAUCCAUAAGAAUGAGCACUUAAGAGUGUUUUGCUACUUUGCCAGAUCAGUUGUGUAAGAGAAUAUAGAUUCCUAUAUUAAGGCAAUACUACUGGAUUGGAAAUUAGACUCUACGCGCAAGCACUUUAGGUCUCCCCUUUGCUUACGGGGGAACGAGAUACUUACUUCAGUAGAUACGCGACAACAAGACUUUAGACUUCUCUUGCAACAAAAGUAGGCGAGUGUAUGUAAAGUGAAGUAAAUAAAGAAUUGCAAGCAUUAUCACCCGCUCGCUUUAGCAUUUCGAUUGAUAGACUCGGUUGUAUUCUGGAACUUGAACGGAACGAUACUACAUCACGGAGACCAACAAACUACUACAACUACUAAUCCAUAUAUUCUUUACCUAUGCCUUGAACCAGAUACUGUUUAUCUAUCUACUACUCUAUGUAUGGCUUCAGAUCCCUUAGAUUCUUUUGUUCCGUAUCCUUCUCCUGCUCUACCAUCUUUCUAGUUUUAGGCUUGAACAUCUCUGGAUACAGGAAUGGAUUUGAAUGGAGUCUAUCGAACACCUAGUCCUAGUAUGGAUUUCCGUAAAUACACAGAUCUGCCUUUUGAAGCUAUGCUAUGGUUGGUUACCCCCUUUUCUAUUGAGCAUCACAUAUAAGUGAUUGAAGCUAUGCUAUGGUUGGUUACCCCCUUCUAUCUAAUGCUAAGGAGUUCUGUUAGCUUACUUUGCAAGGUGCGGUUGUUAGAUUCUAGUUCUUAUUUGAAUUGGAGUAGCAGGGUACGACCAGUAUGGAGAAAGUGCUUUCUUCGUUGGCGCUAACAGAGUCGAGCUCCUGUGUUCAUCGGCUAAUGCUGACUUUCGGGCUUAUUGAAGUGAUUACGCUUACUUUCGCAUAGGUAGGUUGGUUCCACUCGUAUUUCAUUCAGUACAACUAGCUUCUGGUCGUCAAUGUGCCGCUUACGCUUUGCGCUCAACGUAGUGGAAGUGAGUUCUUUAUCGCUCUGUGGGCUACAGGGUCUUUAUCAUGAGAAUGGCCUUAUUUACUUGGAUGAUAGUCUUCUUUAGCGCCCAGACAGACAGCCCUUGUGUUGAGGAAAUAGAUUUCCAGCGGAAGAAGCAAUAAAUGAGGGAGUUUAGUCUCGUAUGACAGUUGGGUAAUUAUGGAAUAUGAGAUUAAGCAGUUUAGGCUAAAGUCAGGUCAGAGCCAGAGAGCCUGCAGUCAUGCUGUUCCAGUUUUCUCAACAAGAGAAAGAAAUAGUAGAUUCCAAGUAAGGGUAAGUGAAGGAGAGUCAUCUUUGGCGCAAGCAAGAGAUAGAUGGAAAUGAAAACAUAACUUGCCAAUUGCACACCUUAACCUUAGGAGUUGAUAAACCAGUGAUUAUUACCCCUUUGUUUAGUUGAGAAACCUGUGAAUUACCUCCUUGUGUAGUUGAUAAACCUGUGAAUUACCUCUUUGUGUAGUGUUAGGUCUUACAUAACAUGGGUUUGUAUCUUUCUGUUCGAGAAGAAGAAAUAGCAGCGCCGAGAGAAUCAUAUAGAUCUAGAUUUGCAGCUGUAGAAAAGUAAGCAGUAUAAGGAGUAGUGGAAAGUAUAGUUCGUUCGGCAAAAGGGGAUAGAGUUGAGUCUCAUAUAGAUGUAAGUCAUUAUUUCAGAAGAGGAUUGAUCUGCACACUAACAGGAAAGGGAGUUUACCUGACAGCGAGAGAUAUAGGUUCCAGUGUAAGUAAAUCCGGUGUUAAAGCAAGAGAACGAUCAGACUCAGUUUCAAUAGAAUCCGUAGUAACAGAAUCAGUAGUUCGAAAGGAAAGUGCAAGUGUUGUUUACGAGAUCAUAAGCAUGAUAGGUGUUCCGUUCUUAUUUCAUCUUAGAGAUUCGAAUCCGUUUCCUACGAAUCAGAGGCCAGAAAAGAAUUAGACCAUUUCAUCUUGUUGAGCCGUUACUUGUUCGUUUUGCUCCAACUUCCCUUACGCCUAGUGCCACUCUAGAAUUGGAAUAUGACUUUAUUUCUCUCACCUAGCCUAGUAUAUAACCUAUGUAUGAUUGUAAAGAAUCUAUCUAUCUAUCUUAUGAAUCUGACCGGAACCUAGCUUUACUGGCAAUGAGAGUCGACUAACGGAUGAAACUCUAGAUAUGAAAUAAGACCCGCUAACGCAACAAAUCCUACUCCUGAUGAUGAUCCUUAUCUUUCUGCCUCACCUGCUCCAGACUGUCUUUAAUUGAAUCAAUCUACUCCUCCUUGAAUUCAUGGAAUCCUUCUUGCUUAGUGGAACAUAACGCCUUGUUUCUUGGGCCUAAGCUUGUUGAGUCGAGUUUGUUGUUUGUGCCGUUACGUCUUCUUCUGUUACGCUAAUGAGAGUUCUUUCGUCAUUACUUGAUGGAAGUACAAAGCAGUGAGGUUUCAAUAAGCAGGGAGAUUAGGUUACAAAAUAUGGAUAUGGAGUAAGUGCAUGAACAAAAUAGAGAGUAGGUGCGCAUGAACAAAAUAGAGAGUAGGUGCAUUCAAUUCAUAAGAAACAAGGAAACAAGAUAAGGUGCGCCGAGUAAGUAAGCGGGCUAAGUUCCUCUAUCUGAGUUCUAUAGGGAGGAGCAAUGCAGUAUUCUAUUAAUCUCUCUCUCUCUUUUCUUUAAGUAAGCAGUUUGGUUACCGAACAAGCAAAUGGUCCCGUUGCACGUUAGGAGAGUUCGAUUUCAUCUAUGCCUCCUCUGUUCAACUUAGCUAAGUGGUAAAUUGUUUCAACGUAGCGGUAAAGAACUUUCACUGACUUUCAUGCUUGGACCACGUGUUGGCUUUAACACCUGAUAGUCCUAUCUUUCUCUUUCCCGAUGACUUGAUACAACACCUCAGCAGAUAGAGUUUAUUCACUACUGUCUACGAGAACAAGUAAACUAUACCGAGCGAGAGGCAACUAGAGAUUCUUCAUUACAGCCAAUGACAACAGGUAAACUAUGUAAAGCUAAUAUCCAAUGAUAACAGGUAAACUAUGUAAAGCGAAUAUAUCUUUAAGCACUACUGGGCGAGAUCUACUUUCUUUUGUUGGAUACUGAAACCUAUUGCCUUUGCUUUUCUUACCCGACUUAACCUAUAGGACAUAAUUGAGUCUUUCGAGACCUUAGAUGGGCAAGAGAGAGUCAAGGGAGAAACCGAUGACCAUCAAACUCCCGAAAACAAGACUGGAAGUUCAGCUGACCCCAACACCGGCGCAGUUGAUCAUUCCAUUCCACAAUUCCAACUGUUAAUUGAACUGAUUGAACUGAUGCACUAGUUUCGGGCAAUAGUCCUCAUAAUUAAUGGAAUCUUUAUGAGGUUAAGUAUAAAGUCACAGGGGUGUGGUAGGGCAGUAGUACUUACUGUUUCAGCGGGUUGUGGUCCAAGUCUCUUCAGUCAGAUCAGGUUCCUACUUCUUCUAUUGUAGACUAGGAUUCCACCUGAACUUUCUUCACCGACAACACCCGAACUCCUAGAUGCGCUAAUUUUAGGGGGCAUUGACUUAUCGCUUGCAACAGCAACUUACUUAAAUACUUCCUUCGCUUACCACUUCCUUUUCCACAGCUCCUUAUUCUGCUGAUGAUCCCCAGAUAUUUAAACAACUUAUUAUGCUUACUUUUCACUUGCAGCUGACUUAGACACAAUAACUCUACUUUCGUACACAUACCUUCGAACUUGAACUUCUAAAGAAUAGCUUUAGCCCAACUUCAGUGUAAAGAAAGGGGAAGUCGUUCUGAGAAGUGUUGUGCUAAGUCUGGCAUCUGCCUUACCUUUCUUUGCGGGAAAUUGCUCCAAUCUCUGACCUCUUACUUCGAUUUCACGCUGGUGAAAAACUCUGACUUUAUUUACUACAGCUAUUCCCUUUCACUCUAUUCCACUCUAGUUUAUUACCUAUAUACCUAUCUCUCGAGCCUGCCCUGGUUAAUCUUUCCCGCCCUAUAUACUGGAAAAUCCAAUAUAAGUAAAUAGAAACUACUACUGGGAAAAAACGAACACUAAUUCGACUUCCUUUUCUGUUCACGGAUAGCAAUCCUAUCUAAAUGAACUAACUCUUCCUUCCUAGCGGGACUCAUAAAGAGGAGUGGGAUAAGACUGCAAGCACCCUCUUAGUAGCAGCUCUUUGUUACGAUAUUAUUAUUUGUUAUCGAAUCGCUUGCCUUUCCCUUGAUGGAGCAAACCCACAACCUGUUUUCGACGAUAACCUCAUGGCAAAAGUGCUCAUAAACUAGAAAGUGACUAUCAGUGCAGCCACAUGGCUUGAUGUCUACUGGUUCUAUCAAACCAGCUUGGAAAUACCUUCCUUCCGAAAAUGGAUUCCAGAUGGCCAGCAAAUGAGGGGAUAGCUGAAGCGGCUGCCCGCAUCCCACCUCCCUGAGACAACUGACCUCUUUCUGACUUCUGCCCGUAGGGGAAAUGGAAGAGCAAAUGAAAUGCAUCCUACUUACGUAAGUGAAAAGUCCAUCCUACUAACGCAAGUGUGUUUGCUUAUCCACUUUCCAGUCUUUAGGUAUGAUUUCUAUUUAUUCAGACCAGAAGAAUGUGAUGAAAGGCUAACUCGCAGUUGAAAGUGUCUAUUUAGUUCCUGGAUUGAUUGAAUCUGAACUUGACUUGCACUGACCCCAGGAAUAAAAGAAUAAGAGGAGCUGUCUGAGGAGAUUCCAGUAAGAAAAGGUCCUACUAACUACACUUCUAAGCGGGGGCCCUCCCGGUAUCAAUGUAUGAUGCUAAAAGCAACCUGAGGUGAGCUUGUUACGACUUCAAUCGGUGAUUCCUCGUUCCUUUAUAUACUUAUUCUAACACCAUAUUGAUUAAUGAAUUUCUUAUGUCAAUUGACCUUGAACUAUGAUGUAUCUCGUUUUUCUUUUGUUCGAUCAGUCAAACCAGCUACCGAAAGAUAGAAAGUCAAUCCGUUACCAUGAUUGAUAGGAUGAUUAAGCAAGGAUGGAAAGCCCCUUCUUUGCUUGCUUUUCUGAUCUCAUUGUGGAAGUACCGCGUCAAGAUGGUUUUCUAUGCAAUAACGAUAUAGCUCUUCAAGACAGAUUCGUGAACGGUAAAUCUACGCCAUGGAAGUGUCAUUGCUGAAUGACUUGUCUGCUACCAACUCCUUCGGGUAGGCCCAACCACCACACUCUUAGCAUGGUUAACGGAGCACCAACCCAAUCUCGAUCUUUGAAAGAUGUUCUGUUCACAUACAAGCUUUCACACAUGGGCACUGAUAGUAAGGAAAAAUCACACUUUAUAGAAGGAAGUGGCCUUGCCAAGUAUAGUGGACACGAUCCCAGUUGUAAGCAGCAUUUUCCUAGCGGCCGAAAUGAAAGGAAGGUUGAUCGAAGGAUCUCCAUGAAGCAGAAAAUACCGCCCUCAGACGAUAUGAAUUGGAUUUGAUCUCCCUCUUGUAUACGCCAUUUGGAGGUUCACCUUCUUCAAUGACCUACUGACACUUCACUUUUGGAACGAGCAUGGAAAGACACUGUCAAAGACGGACGCCCCAGCCGACUAUGCCCGGGUCAAUAUAACAGUCAAUCCAAGGCAUGAUAGCAGUGUACUGAAAGGGCUCAAGAGCAUGUCUUCUUUUAGACCAUAGCCAUAAAGAUAAGAGUACAACCCAGAAAGCCAUCUUGUAGAGAAUGAACAGUAGAUUUGGGCAACCAUGCCAAAACCAAGCUCAAGUUCUGUCAACAACACGAUGUUUCAUGCGAUGGAAUUCCCCGGGAGACUGCUUCAAAUUCAAAGCAAUCCGAGAGAUGCCCUUCAGAAUGAAUGAAGAUUGGGAUUUGACUCCCUAUGGACCAUCUAUAAAGGGGAACUGCUCUAUUCAUACAGAUUAGACGACGGUUGGUUCCACGCUCUUCGUUAGCGGAAUAAAGACAAGUGGCUGCUGCUUACAUUAUAUACUCCUUCACUGAGUAGGAACUAAGGAAACUGAUCCUCCCUCUUCGAUCUCUUCGACCUCCGGUCCGCUAUGCUCUUUGUAACUAGACCCUCUGAACCUAGUUGGAAAUGAUUUCCCCCCAGUGGCCCGUAUAAUACUUCCUGUCCACUAAACAAAACGGAUGAAUUGCUUGCUGGCUUGCUAACGUAAUGACUGCUCACUCUGUACCCACUCAUUCUUCCUGGCAAUGCAAGGGAAGCCCCAUACACGACUUUUGAAAUCUAGCGAAGCGCCUUGUUAUACACUUCUUCGAUUUAGGUUGUAGCGGCGCACGUCUAAGCAAGUUGGCCGGCCUAUCUUCUGAGUAAGUCUUCUUCAUAUUAUGAUAAAGUACUAUACUAGAUAUGAGAUCUUAUCUUCUUCGGAUAUACAUAUGAGAUAAGUGUGAGUCACAUAAUGACACCAGUAAGUAAGGAGUCAACAAAACAACCCCAUCAUCAAGAUCGGCGUAUUGCCUGCCAGCCUUUAUGACGAUUUCUGAUCGGAGGUAGUUUAUUCACUUAUAACAAGGCCCUUUCAGGGAAACAUCAAGUUUGGAUUCCUGUUAUUCUAUUCUAACUCAACUCAGCAAGACGGGCCGAGCGUUCGAAAGCUGGGCUGCAAGCAAUUUCGCUAAGCUCAGUUCAGGGUCAGUGUGGAUGUCUGUCAAUUGGAGCAAGGAACUAGCGGAACGCAAACAGUGGAACUUCGGACUGGACUAGUAUGAAACUCAAAACAAAAGACUUGUAUCAGUGCAGUCGUCAAAGUAGUGUUAGCCAAGACUUGACUUUUGGAGGAAUAGCAAUAGCCUAAAUCUCACUUUCGAUAGCGUCUCCCUCACUCUGAGAUCGCCUUCACUUUUAGCACUCCUCGGCAUGAAUAUGAAUUCCAGCUGCUCCUAUAAAGGAAAGAAGGGGCUAUAAAUAGGUCAAUCAGGCUCUCCUCUUUCUUUGUAGUUUCCCCAAAUACUCAAUAUUCAUUUGAAUAGCAUAUAGAAAGCAAAAUAGUCCUUAGUUAGCUGUCUUUUGAAAACAUUUCUUAGUCGACUUGAGAAAAGUAUUAAGAGAAGGAAGAAAGGGUAGAUCUACGCCAUGAGAAAGCUUUACCUCCUAAGAGCUUUUCUAUCCUACACAGGAAAUCCCAGGAGCUAUCAACAUAGAAAGAAAGGACUAUUGAAGACUUGCUUCAGAAAGGGCAACUAAGGAAACUACUUUAUACAGUAGUGGGGAAUGCAAAAUCAAUCUAAUUGGUCGAAUGAGCAAAUCCUUAUCUACUUCUUAGGUUAUCCCGACUUAAGCAAAGAAAGUAUUAAGAGAAAGUCUGACGAAAGCUAUGAAACGGACAAGCUCAGAGCUAUCUAUCCACAGCUCCGCAGGCCUCUCUGCUGACCACAAGAAUUAGGCUAAAGCGCAAGUUUUGAGUUGGCUGGAUAUCCACAUCCUCGACGACGUUCUGUUUCGCGGGGGAACCAAAGAAGAAUUCUGAAUCUGAUGCCAGCGCCACUCCUGCAAGAAAUAUUGGCAACCCCAUAAGGGUUAGCAUGGAGCAAUGGAUUCCACGGGUUCUAGAAUUGGAGUUCUAGGCAGGGAGGGAGGAACUUCCCCUCUUCAGCUUCAGGGGCAGCUAGGAGGUAGCUCGUUAGCUUUCGAAAUCAAUUAGUCAAAAAGGAGUGCCAUUGCGAUCCUGCAGCUAUCUCUCCUUCACCUUUGCCUUAAUUCUGCCAAUGGUUCUCCUGGAAAUCCAUUCAAUGGAGCAGCUUUCAGGUCUCGUUUAUCCGAGUUCAAUACUAUUAUGAUUAUUACCGCUACAUGGGUCUAUCAAAGCUCUUCCUUAUCUUCAUCUUCUCUUUCCUAUUGGUGUACAAAAAGUGAGAAUAUGUAUAUCAAACAUCUGAUUCUGGUUCAUCUAGUCCUAAUUUAGUGCUAACUGAGCUAGCUCGUGGCUUGGUCUUCAGUGACAUGAUCUUCCCUUGGGUUCACUUUGAAGCCUAUUUACUUACUCCACUGCAUUGAAGUUGAUUAGCUUUAUGCUUAGCUACAUUUUCUAUUCUCAAUAGCCAGAUAGUGAAGAAAGAAGGGCGGUCUCCUCCUCAUAAGUAAGUGUAGAGAGCUUGCAAGAAGCUUUCCCCUGCUAAUGGCUUUCUUUGAUGGCUUUUCCUCAGGGUAGAAAGGCUAUGCUUUAAGGGUCCUCUCUUUCGGAGGGCUUGCUUACUUUGCCAGGACAGGAGCGUCGUCUUUCUUAUCUUUGCUUGAAUGGGAUUCGUUUUCGUUUAGUAGACAUAUAGCUGAUGGAUAACCUUAGGCUAGUAGUUCAAAAGAAGGCAAUGUGAAUUGAUGGUUUAGAUAGACUUGAGGAGAAGAGAAGCCUCUUACCCAGCCCGCACCGCACCGUAGGGAUUAGUAAACUGUUCCGAUCAGGACUAAACACGAAAUAGAGAAUAAAAGGAUACGGGUCCCUGGGAGACAAUCCAUAUUCUGAAUCCGAUUUCGCCACGGAACUACAUUCAAAUAACACUAAAGAUAAGGCGGCUCAUUCUUGGGUUCUUGUGCCACUAUAGGCUCUUUCUUCCCUUACCUAUGGGAACUCACGUAGCCCAUCCAUCUACCAGCAAAGACAGUGAAAUCGGUGCUCAAGUAUAAUAGUAUAGAAUAUGAAGUAGUAAGCGCUUUCUUUCGUCGGCCGUCCCUCCCGUCCUUAGCUUAGAUCCAUCCAUCCUCUUUCUACUUUACCUCCUACCUAUCAACGCCUAACACCGUCUUUUAGGGUUAGUUAGGGUGACUUCAGAAAAGACUCCGUUUCGAAUAGAACUCGCUCUCUCGAGCCAUGGGCAUAUCAGCUUACUCAUAUAGGAUAUGGGCAUAUCAGCUUACUCAUAUAGGAUCAAGGGCUCCCUUAUUUAUAAUACGGAUUCAUUUAAUACUUUGGAAUACUUCCCCAGUAAUAGCCCCAUUCAUUUGAAGAGUAAUAAACCUUUUUCCCUAGAAUAUUGUGAAAAGGAAAGUAAGGACCUCCUCCUUAUUCUAUUCUAGCUGCUGCGCCUAUUUCGGAUUCUGCGAGAAAUCAUACUUCUUUAUAGAUCCACCUGAGAAAGGAGAGUCCAUCUACUUCAAAUGGGUAUCUAGAAUCAGAGGCAGUGCCGAAGCUGUUCAGUAUACUAUGCAAUUCCAUCAGUGUCUUCAUCGGCGUAAAGUAGAGGUAGGGUUAGGUUAAAUCGACGAUAUAAGUUCUAUGAUUUCCCUUUGUUAUCAUAGAGAUAGAUAGGUUAUUGACCGAGUAGAAAAGAUGGGGCCCCGAGUAUCAAAUCCGUUGUUUCAAGCUAUCCCCUUUCCAUCACACUCCUGACUCCACUUAUACUUAAACGGAAACUAAUGAACUUAUGGCUUCAACUUAAGUACUCUCUUUUUUUAAGGAACUUUCCUUUGAGCGGGCAACUUCCUUUGGAAUGGUUGAUUAACCUUAUCCCACUUAUGAUCCGGAACUUGAUCUUGAUCCAACUUAUGCUUUAGAUCCGUAUUCUACCGUAGAUGAACUACUGCCAGCCUCCACUGGAAUGAACGAGCUAGCUGAUCCCCUUUUGACACUCGAACGGAAAGAGACCGAAAGCGGAAAUUGACAUUUACAUAGGAAUGGGAUUCUCGUCGCCAACACAGUCGGCUUAUCGGGGUGCGAAAGGAAAGGGGAAGUCCAGAAAAUCGCUAUAGGGCUAAUACUGAGCAGAGCUUCUUUCUAUUGUGGAUUACACUCGAACUGAUCCAGUUGCUUGUCUGCUGCUGACCUCUGACUUGCGCCUUAACCACUCCAUAGGAAGUAUAGAUUCGAUUCGACUAUAGGAGAUAACACUAAAACAGUCCAUUCGAGUCGACUACACUCGCACCUACCGAAUUAGCUUAAGAAGUGGAUCAUUCUGUCCGAUCUUAUUAAUAAGUAAUACGAUGAGAUUCACUUAACGCUGACUUCACCUCUUAUUCUGGAAGUGAAGGUGAAGACCCGCUGGCGGCUUCUUAUCUUGAAACAGCAACUGCUCCUGCAGGAUCCUAAUGAUUCUACUGCUCUUCCUUCCUCACCUGCUCUUGAUAACUGCUUAAACCUAUUCUGAAAGAGAAGAUUCGGCUUACUCAUACGCUCUCAUCUCAUAUAUGGAAUGGAAUAAUAGGGUACGAAUAUAGCACAUUCAUAAUAGGGUAUGCAUAUUGCACAUCUAGAUUAAUAUUCAGGGAUUAUAGCCUAUGUGUGAAGUCCAAAAACCAGAACAUAUGAGUGAAGAGAGUGAAGUGCAAAGGAAGUAUACUCGCACCCCAAGAUAGGAGUCAGAGGCACCCCUGGAGACUUACUAGUAUUCUCACUCAGUACCUUAGCGCUGAAGCAACAAAUCAUUCAUCAACUGGAAACACAGAAUUCCAACAGUUAAUUGAACUUUCGACAACAAAGAUCUCUUACUACCCACCCGGAGACAAAGAUUCCAUUAAUUCUUCAGACAGGCCUGUCCCAUCUUGAUAUGUACUAUACACUUAGGCAGUCCCCUUUCUGUUCUAUUCUAUUAUAGAAGAGAGAAUUCAAGUGUGUUUGCCGGAGGAGAGGUAGGACAAGUAGUGCUUCAAAGGUGGGGUGGUUCAAUCCAAUCUUACCUUGCUAUCGCUGACGUGGAUCUACCUGUUACUGAUGGUGAUCCAGCUUCUAUUGUUGGUGACAAGUGCUUUGUUAUAAGAUCUUAUUAUUGAUUGGCUUGAUUGACCUUUGUUGCCGGCGUUAGCUUGCUCUUUACACAGAUCUUUAUUCUGCCAUUACUUUCUUUCUUUCUUAUGAGAUUCCUCAGGCUAAUAUACCUCCUUCUGCUGGCUUUGGACAACCUUAUGGUUUUCUUACUUAAAGAAGUUAGCCUACCGAGUGCUCCGGCUCGCUAACUCGAAUGAAACAAGCAGCUGACUGACUUUCCUCGCCUCGCACCCUGCCAGACAAUCCACUACUACUAACGCAUUAACUACUCAACUCACUGUUUACUUAGUUCUCGAGCCAAGCCACCACUAGCAGCCUACAGAGACAGAGGAAUGAGCGAGAUCCGGCCUAAUACAUAAUUCCUGGGGCAAGCAAAACCAGUAGUAGAAACCAUCCCCUUGAAACACAGAAUGCAACUGGGGGAUCCCGCUGAUGAAUAGGGGAAUUGAUACCUUAUGUACUAGACAAACUACCCGCGUCUAGUAACAGACUUCAACAACUAACCUAGCCUAGGAAUAGAAUGAGUAGUUGAGAUCGAUCGGCAAGGGAGCUAGAAGUACUUCAGUUCUGAAUUGCUAUCCGCCCCAAGUCACUAGACAAGUAACGGGCAAGAGGAGAGGCCAGGAAGCUAAGCUAUAUGUACUGAAGUAAAGAAUGCAAACACUACCAACAAGAAUGAAACAAGAACUCGAGCAGCCAAGCUACGUAUACAAAGGCAAAGAUCAGACUUCAACCAGUAAGUGUAAGGCUGGUGAGCUACUCCUUAUUGCUAACCUAGGAAUAAGGCAUGGAAGAAUGGAACCACUAACAACCAGACUGCAACCAGUGCUAUAGAUCUACCCGGGCUACAUGAUCAAACUACAAAAAAGCAAUCGUACUUAAUAUAGUAAUAAGAAUCCAAGUAAGCAAACUCAGAACUCACUACUGAUACAUUAGAUAAGAAUUGACUCUUUCUUUACAACCCGCGGUAUCUUUCUCACCAACCGUAGCCUAGCCUAUUUCUGGAAUUUCAAGUAAACAUAACAACUUAUUCUAAUUAAUUGAAACACAUGAUCAGAAUCAAACACUAAAUCCUUUGACUGAAAUCACUACCGGAAAGAAAUGAGCUGGGGCUAUAGCACCAAACACUAUUACUUGCAUUAUGCUGAUCCUGGCUUAAAGUCUACUGCGGCACUCUCACCUCACUGAAUCGACUCACACUACUCCAAUAAGCAAGCGGCGACCCGAGAACAGAUAGUGAAACUAAAGAAAAAACCAACGGCAAUAAGGCAAAGAGUUGACCAGCGGAAGAACCUGUGUACCGAAAAGUGUUAGUUGACACUUGCAGAAGCAGACGUUGGUUGAUUUAGUCUAUAAUUGGGUAAUAUUCCAUCAAACAAGUAAUGGCUUGCAGAACUCCCUUUAGCCACUGAGUAUGGACCUGGCAUGAAGAAGGAGGGACAUUCUCUAAGUCAGGCAAUCAGGCUUCUUUCUAGUGCUAAUCGGUGAAAGCUGUAAACAGGAAUAUUCUCUUUCGAGCGCCUGUUCUGAGAGACGAGAUACUUUCAUUGCACAGCUGAUUCUCAAGCCUAUUAUCCUAGUGUCCUGAUCCGGAUUGACUUCUCUCUACCCUACUUAGGUAUUGGUAUUUCUCCUGAUUGAUUUCCUUCUCUCUACCCUACUUAGGUAUUGGUAUUUCUCCUGAUUGAUUUCCUUCUCUAACGCCCACUUAUGAUUCCCUCCUUGACAACUUUAGCACCCGAACUCUAGGCCAAGGUCAAUCCAAUAACUUAUUAUUCAUGAUAUGAUUCUCGUCGCCAACAAAGAGAUAUCACACUGCGGAUUCUUAUCUCUUACUCCGGCCGGGUACUGCUACAGGUAAAGCUUAAGAUCGAGUAUACUUUCUUGGCACUCAAAGAUAUGAGUAAUGAGUAAACCUUGCUAGUAAUGGAAAUGGAACUCCAAGGUCAUAAACUGAAGUAACUGAAUCAGUCUUGUUCCCCUCCAAAAGUCAUAGAAAGAAGUAACCAUCUCCAUAUGCUCUUUAUCGCCAACCCGGACUAGUGCUCUGUCCUCUUCACAUUCCAUUCUGAUAUUAGAUGCGGGGGCCAAGCGUAUACUAGUAAAGGAGUCCGGAGUAACUGAGCAAUAGGGUAAAGAUGUUAGGCAGAAAUGAACUAGAACAGAACUCAAGUAGUUUGAUGGCAAAUUACCUAUCAUCAGUUCUUACCCGUUCCAUAAAUGCAUUUGAAGCCUAUAUCUUAAGGGCAUUAAUAAAGGGCACAGGGUUAGUUCCUUCUUUUCUUCUAUUACUAAAUCUAUAAGACCUAGCUCAUUCUGCUUUUGAAGAUCUGGAAACUGCUACUCUAAAUACGGAAUUGAACCUAACCUGAUAACGCCAAUCCAAUAUCUCCCGUUAGCGCAGAGGAAACUCAAUUACCAAAUUCCAAAUGAAGAAGAAACCAACUCCAUUCUUAAAGGAAGGUGGGUUAAGAGCCCAUGGUGGGUGACCCUCUUCUCUUCUAUCAUACCUCUUGCGGGGAACAAUAAUGAUAUAGUAUACUAUCUUUCAACGUCCUUAGUCCUAAGACUGCUGACUUUCUUUCGCCAACACCAGACUUGAGAACUGCAUCUGUUCCUACUUAUGCUGCUGACUAACUGGAUACUAAUGAUGAUUUGGUCGACUCCACUCCUGACUCCCCAAUAGAAUCUAGUAACUCCAUUCCGGACUCCCCAAUAGAAGAUUACCCACUUGCUGUUUCACCAACACCAAGAUACCGAACUGCUGAUUCUGUUGUCGAUGUAGACUUUCCCGGCACUGCUUACGAUUCAACAUCAAACUCAACUUUCUACUUGCCCUCGUCCUGAACUUAACGCUGCUUUCCAGGCUGAUUGAGAGCUAAAGUAUAUAACAGAGGCAUAUUACCGAGAUCUAUACUAAACUACCUUAUCCUCUGAUUCCACUUUCCUUUCGUAACUCGCGUUAGCGCACUAACCUGUAUCAUUGCCCGGCGCACAAGGACUUUAGGUCUACCCUUACUUUGAUUGCUUCCUUACUUGACUUUAGGUCUACCCUUCCUUUGAUUGCUUCCUUACCAGGACUUGGUUAUAAGAAGUUGAAAACAUUCCCCACGAAACUCAUUCUUUAUCUUAUCGGUCGACCACACCUCGCUGACUUUCACUUCUGUUAUUGAUCUGUUAAUGAAAUUCGAACUAUUAUACUACUUGCUUAUACUUAUUACUAUUAUACUACUUUCUUAUACUACUUAACAGCUUCCCAAAAGCUUCUUUCUCUCUUAAGGCCGGCAUCUAGCUUCACUUCAUUCUAAGGUCAUAGGGCGCAGUUCCAGAAUCUGCUUAUAGUAGUGCACAUCAUCUUCUAUGAGGAAGUAACCAAACACUGGAAACUAAGUAACCAAACACUAGAAACUAACGAAACUCAAAACUAUGUUCACGUAAGCCGAUGACAAACACUCUGGUAGCGCCGUAACAAAACCAGAAUGGAUUGAACCAACUUAUGUUAGCGACGAGAGUGGAGGCAAUAACACUUCUUUUCUUUAAGCUGAUGCUUUAGUUGCGCGAGGUAGAGUUCGGAUAGCCCCUACAGAAUUCCACUGGAAUGUCAGAAACAGCAGAAUUAGCCUAGCCAGGCAGAGGGGCGGGGCAAUCAAUAGUCUAGGCACCAUAGCGAGUAGCCAGAGGGCCCUUAUAUCAAAGUGGAACAGGACAGCUAAAUCCAACUUUCCUAGGGAAUUCUUAGAGCUAGAGCACCAACAAAGACUGACUUGCCCCCCAAGAGUAUAUAGUGUAGUUGACUUUCCUCGCAACAAAGCCGACCUACCCUUGAAGUUCAGAAUUGAUACCAUCUUUGUAUCCUCUGGUUUUCAUCGAAUCUAUAGGCUUCUACUCCCUUGGAAUCUACAGCUUAUAGUAAAGGCUCUGCUCUACCAGGGCCGCUAGUCAAUUGAAUGGAACAAGCCUUUUCCUGUUCCUGCUCGGGAAAGCACCCUUCUGGAUUGAUUUCUUUAUAAAUAAUAAUAAUAAGAUUCCUUUAGCCCGAGAUACCCGCGAGAGUUGCUUGGUCGUUAGCAGUUACUUGGCGCAUGUCUUGUCGGUGUGAAAGCCUAAUCCUCAAAAGAAGGGAAAACUCCCCCUUAUACAGUAAUAGGAGCUAGAUCUAUCCCUUACUUAUUUACCGAUACCUCGGAAGUCUUGACCUGGACCUUGAACUUCACCCUCUCUAUACUCUAAGUCAGCUACUGAAUGAAAGAAUUCCACUGGCACAGCUUCUUCUUUAGUAGACCUAACUGGCACAGCUUCUCAAUAGGAUUCAACUCACACUCGAGCAGUACUACUGGUCUUCCACUCUGCAACUAGAGUAUAGUCUAUUUCCAUUCUUCCUUUCGAGCAUACCCUUCCUUAUUAAUAAGGCCGCUUUCAAGACUAAGCUAACGGAGCAAGAGCGAGAGGCGAGGGCAGCUUUCUAGAUGCCUGGAGUAUCGGGUGCUUGUAGUAGUUACUUGGCCCCUUGUUUCAUCAAAGCUGGCAAAAGUCAACUCUAUUCUUAUUAUAUGGAAGUAACCCACUACUCUUGCAACAACAGUUGGACCUGUAGGGAGGGAUAGGAAUGGAACUUGCACCGAGGCAAACUGCACUGGAAUCCUUCUUUUGAGCGCCUCCCGGCUAACGCUACACAUUAUUGGAAUUCUUUGUUUACUUCAGAUCAAUUAAUUAGAACCCCCAAGUCGAAGUGCCCGUUGAGCGUACUCCGAUGAAAAACUCCUUAUUUGGGAUCUAGCUCAUGAUAUCGAUGAAGUGAAUCUAUCGCUCAGAAGAUGGUGUUGUGAGCCAUUAGCUAUGGUUCCGAAAAGAAAAAGGAAUUCGCUCCGGUGAAUAGGAGCUCCCAUUUCCUCUUGUAAAAAUAGACCACUCAUCCACAUCCUGUUAAUCCUAUGGAAGGAACCCAGGGUUCGAAUCCUACUAAGCAACGCCGGGACAAGAUCUUUGUUUCAGCAGAACAGAUUUAAGCUAGUGUAGUGGGACUCUAGUUUCCGUUUGGCGACUCGGAAUAAAGGUUGCUUUAGUAAAGUCUGGCAUAAGUACCAAAUAGCUUCUUAACCUAGUGGGGAAUCUGCUUCAAUUGAGCAACUUAACUCGUUGUCUCAGCCCUUCUUCGUAUUCUGUUUAUAUUCUAUUUGAUAGAACACCCCUUAGCCUAUUCUUCGGAAUCUCGAAACUCCGAACUUCUUUGUCGAGCUAGGAACCGAACCCACUUGACUGGUAAGAUAUCUCUUCCUUUUCGAACUUCACUAUAAGCUAUCAGCUGCGCUUUUCGCUCCUAUCUAAAUCGUUGUCUAAAAACCUUGGCUUGGCUCUGAAGAUCCUUCAUCUUUGCCUAGUCAUCUUCGUCGAGUAGCGUAGCACCUCUGCUUGCUAAGAGUUGAUUUCCUACUGAGGUAAAGAAUACAAAGAGUGGAACUCGGUCAUUCAUAUACCCUCAGCUCCAAUUCCGCCUCUACAUUAAACUCACCUCCUUCUAUCUUUAUUAUGUGAAACUAACCCACCUCCUUCUAUCUUUAUUAUGGAGACAGCUAGGAGAAAGAAGAGUAUAACCCAACCCCUUUAUCUCCUAGAACACUGCAUUUCUACCUAGUCAUACAUAAGCCCAUCAAUCAGUACGUAGGAUCCGCGGCCAAAGGGAAUCUUUAGGGUGUGAAUGGUAAUAAGUAGCUCUAUCAACAACUUCCCCAAACAAGGGUACAUCUUAAUAAGACAAAUUGGCUCUUCAGGGUGUCAACGCAAGAAACAAAUCCUUUUUCUUCUCGAACCUUAGGGUACCAAUCCAUCCAAUGAAAAAAAGGAUAUCCUCUGAAAGAAUUGGCCCCAUCGGUAUUCGGUAUACUAUAUAAACUACAAAACGUUUGGGGUAUUAUGUAUAUAAGGGAUCCCUAAGUUGCCGUUAAGCAAGCUUGAUUUCCAGUGGUGAGCUAAAUCAGUCCAAACCCUGUCAAGGCAGAAUAAAGAUUCCAAAAAGGCUGUUUAAUGAGCUAGGUUUCGCAGGCCCUGGGAACUGCUCUACAUUAGGUGUUUAAGCUGGGUUCUUCAAAGCUUGUGACUUCAAGAGCCAUUCACACUGUUUAGGAAUAGGGUUCAUUCUCUAGGCUAUCCGACAACGGGUCUAUUGCUCCUAACUAGCUAGGUUUGGGCAACGAUGAAGAGAAUCAAAGAAAUGUUACUAUUCCGGUAAAUCAAAGAAAUGUUGUAUCAAGUAUUGGCCUUGGUUUGGGAUUAUUUAGAAUAUUCCAUCUAUGGGGAACGGAGGCCCAGCCCACUCUUAAAGAUAUAAGAAAUUGCUAUAAGAUGUGUGAAUGAACAGAAAAGUAUUGAAAGAUGUGGAGAUAGAAUGGAUGCCCUUUGACUAUUGGUGUUAGGGACCCAGAUACUUCGCUACUUUAGAACCCAAUAAAUUCCCUAUAGCUGGAUAUAAGAUUGCUUGAAUCACUCUCGUAUACGCAUAUAUAAGUUAAUCUCAAUCCGUGUUCUAAUCCAUGUCAAAUUGAGAAAUAGCUAUCCAUCUUUAGCAAAAAGCCAAAUCAUUGAAAUCCUUUUCUGUAAAUUGACCAAACACCUGGAUAUUGUUCGGCAAUAGCUUUUGAAGCACAAUACUUAUUCCAAUGGUAUUUAAGUAUGGGCGGGAGUUUCACCUGAUGUGGGUCGAGAUGAAAGGAAGAGGAUUCGGGCGACUCAUAGGCAUUUCCUCCCAUACAUUUCAUCCCAAACACCCGCUAGAGAAGGAUAGGUUUGCGAAGGGCCAAGACGGUGGAUUUGGAAGUAUUUAUUUAGGGUAAAUCCAAUCCUUAAGGAAAGGACCCAUUCUGGUUUUGUUAUUGCUCAGUCCUAAUACGAUUAUUACUGAUUCACUUACAUUAGCCUCCGGACAGGCUCAUGCAGUAAUCCUUGUCGCAAUAAUUGUUUGAAAUUGAAAUAAUCAGAAAGAUCAGAUAGCCUACCUACGAUGUAUUCUGUAUUUAUAGAAGAGAAUUGUGGAUUGACUUGAUUCGUGGCUCGUCUCAAGACCCCGGCCCCGGAUCUAUCAAUAGCGAGUUGGAAGCAAUCGAUUGAAAACUAACUGUCAGCUAACUGCCUACCCAAUCCAAAGUAACUGGAUGCAAGGAAUAAUGAAACUACUAGAUAUUUGACCCACUAACUUAGAUAUUUGACCUACUAACUGUCUUAAGUGAACCGGAACUUGCUGGAAUCAAACUAACUAGACCCUAUUUGCUCGCCGCUCUGCUUUUCUUUUUCCGUGGAUCCUGACUGAAAGCUCAAAUUGAUGAUUAAUUGAAGCUUCUAAGCCUCCCAACACAAAACAAGGCUUUCUUUCUAGGGCAUAUAGACAACUUGGGAUAACCUAAUCAUAGCCGUCUUUGACUUUCAAAGCCUUUCACCGAGUUUGGGAUCAAUCCUCAAUUCCAUUCCCUUCUUUUUAUGAUCUUACAUAAGCUUAUUUAGUCGGCGGGUAGACAUAUCAAAAAAGCUCCAAAUCAUUCCUAAGGUCCGGUACUUUACUGCUUAGCUUUUGAGUAAAUGCGUAGCUCUGAACUCAUGGUCUUGGUCUUUCUUUCGGAGGUAGUGAAUCCUAUAAGUCAUUCAGCGGCUAACAAAACAAUCAUUUGCUGUCUCCAUCCAAGUAGCAUCUUCUCCAUAUUCAAUCCCAACUUUGUGAAUCGAGGGAAAUUUCGGAGAAUUGAUUCUUCACCUAUAGUAUUGCCAGCCUUAUGUCCAGAUGGGGUUCCCAUGACCAGACGGCGCAACAACUAUCACUCGUCUUACUACCUUGCAACAUAUAGAGACUUGCAACAUAUAGAGACUUUUGCAAGGCUUACUAUCAGCGCUAUACUUACUUGACUUAGACUCUCACCGUUUGCUUGUCUUGUGAACAAAGACGCUUCGUAAAGAAGUCAUUCCAUUCCUUAUCUAAGACGUUUGCCUGCUAAGAGAGACAAAUAAGGUCAUAUAUUACUCCUGGGUUUAGAGAAUCAAAAGGAGCGAGCACUUGAUAUAUAAUAAGAAGACAUUACGACUGCUUUUACUGCUGACUCAACAAGCUUCUAAUUCUUUACCUGACUUAUUAAGAUACUGAUCCGGACUUUGAAUCUACUGGUACUAGUAUUGGUGGAUCUGGCUCUAAUAGCGGACUUUCUAACUACACUUUCCUUGCUUUGCUGCUCACUUUAGCACUCAUGAAGAACCGCUUGCUCUUGACUUUCUUUCUAAAGAUAUAGCUUCUUUACCUGAUCCCCAGCAGUCUUUCCUCAGCUUUUGAUCCUUAUAAAGCAGAAACACCUGCAUUUUGUAGAGUCCUUUUUCCCUUGAGACAAUACCGAAAGACGAAAUUCAUGCUUGCUUGCCCUAUAGGUGAAGUACGUUAAUAAAAGGUAAUAAAGGCUUAUAGUAAGGUAAUAAAGGCUAUGGGUGUAACAGUUUCCAAAGUGGAUCUCGCCAUCAAUCGGUGCAAGAGACUACGCAAGUGAUAGAUAACCAGAAGCAGUUGAAAGAGCUGUAGUAUCAUUCCGCGGGAAAGAAAACAGUGGAUGUAGGGUAUGUUGUUCAAGCAGGGUUUUGUGCAUAAUAAAGUCCUGGCCGGUGUUAGGCUGCAAGCGGGAGGGAACCGGCAAAGAUGUUUCAAAUGUUGUAGAAUAGCAGAUAGAGCCACUAAAUGACCGAUUAGCUAUAAGAUGAGGUGAACAUGGCCUAAACUUUGCAAAAGGGCAACAUUAGUAGCCGGCAGGCUGCCGCUCCUUGGUUAAAACCUAUAACUCCUGGCAACAAGACUAGAGUUGCUACUGGAGGGACUGAACCAUUGCGCUAAGAGGCCUUUUACUGGGCACUCGGGCUUACUGUCCUGUCCUGUCUAGCAUUCCCAAACUGCAAUAACUUAGGUAUACCAACAACUGCCUCGCUUUCUUUUUUUAACAAGUGAGUCUUCCCUUCCUUGAUCCGACUCUAACUAUCUUUGCUUUCGUGCUGUAUCUUCUGAUCGGGAUCUUUUAUCUUAUUAAUAAGCAAUUGGACCUAUACUGGUGAGAAUGAAGACAGGGCUCAUAAGACCGGAACUCGGGUAUACAUAGAAUAAUAGUCGGAUAUUGCUUUAUCUCAAACUGAUGCUAAUGCCAACAAUACACACAUAUCUUUGCGACGCUUAGUUGGGUUCGGCUAGUGCUUCCUUUCCUCUCUAUACUACUUUACCGUAAACGACUCUCUUAUACUUUCCCGUAAACUACUCCCUUUGUUUAGGCAAUAAUCAUUCCAUUCAUUUCCUCUUUCCACUUAUAUAAGCUACAGGUCAACUCGUAUUGUUUCAUUUUACUGACACACAUGUAGAAUACAGUAACCAAACUGUGCUUAGCUAGCAACAAGUAAUGGAACAAGCCUUUACGCGUUAGCAAGUUACCCUAGGGUGGGGGCCUUAGCGCUUUCAUCAUGGAAUCUAGCCUUCCUAAUUCGACUCCUUCAUCAUAUCCAGCUUCCAAUCCUGCUUGACUCACCUGCAUAAGAUUGAGAUCCCACUUAUUAUCUAUAUCUGUCUUUACAUUUCUACUUCUACUUCGUUGCUUGUCGGCGGCUACGUUGCUUGGCGGGAGCUGACUUUAGUAGACAACACCGCUUCGCUUAUUCUAUCUACACUCGAACAGAACUCACUUAAAGGCUUUCUAAACGGGCAACUUACAGAUCUUAUCCCUAUAUUUCUUUUGCACUCACAUUCCAUUCUUCUUGAGUUCUGGGGUGCAGGGCAAUAAGUGGUAGAGUGAGCUUACUGUGCUUCUUUAUAAGCUAGAGAAAAUCAAUGGUUUACUGGCCUGGCCCUACUAGCCCUACAGCUCGAAGUUAAGUAGAAAGUUGAGAUCUGGUUGGUCAACCCCUUGUUACCGGCUCUAAUCUAAGUGCUUUGUUUUGUUACUAAUUAAUUAGUCAUAGGCAUAUUCCAUGAAAUAACUAAUAGAGAGGCAUAUUUUAUGAAAUAAGUAAUAGAGGUAUACUCCAUCAAACAUCAAAUAAGUAAGAAGAAGCAAGUGAACUUAACCAGACAGAUUAUAGGCGUCAAUGAAUUAGUUGGACAGUAGGAGAGGAUAGGUAAGAAGCCUCAUAUAGUACUCUGGCUUUGAAACAUAACCAAGUCCUGUGUUUGUUGAAGCUGAAGCGUUAAGUCAUGCCAGGCCCAGACUCAGUAGCUAAAGGAAAAGUGGAAGAAUUAUUUGUUGUUUGACGAGGUGCUCGAAAGAUCCAAUUAGGGUUUUGAUCAUUGCUUCACACAAGCACUUAAGCCUACCCGAGCCUCAAAGCCUGUACUCUCCGGAACUACCCACACCCUAACAAGCAAGUCAGUAAACGACACUAGCUACUUUACCCGGUCUUCCACUAAGGUAUUCGAAUUCUCUACAAGGGACAGGCGCAGGGCAUACUGAGUUACGGGCAGACAUCCUAUACUAUCUUACAGGCAAGGAAGCACUAACAGGAGCAAGAGGCGAGCCAAGCUACUACUAGUCCAAAAUGAAUGAUUUAGAAUCUUUAGCUGUUUCUUAGAAGAGAAGUAUUUCCCAUUUCACUAAGAAGCUGGCCUUAUAAUGCAAUAAGUCAUUUCUGCCUAACAUAUUUAUGGUUCCUUCUAGCUUUCACGAUACCCUUACUCUUUUCUUUCGACAACACCGUCUACAAAUACAUAGGAAACUGGAGCACUACUUGUUGGGGCAAGAACUCCACUGGAAUAGCUUACCUUCCCUAUCUAUCCUCUGGACUAGAGCAUCUCAUCUACCUAUGGCAACUACUACUGAUGAACCAGGAAACUUACUAUGAGGGCCACUACAAAUACUGAAUUUCACUACCACUGGGGAGGCUUGGUUCAUCCUUUGAACUAGCUUCUUUACUGGCUCAAGAACAACGGAAAGAGACUUGCACUUCUAUAUCCUUAUAUAUACAAGCUUUGGAAUCUCUAACACCCAGCUACGAGCUACGUAAGCAAAGCAACUAAUACUUCCUCGCCUCUGGACUAGAGCAUCUCUUAUACCGGAAUUCGUACUUACUACUUGCCCUCGACUAUACCCAUCUUCUUGCUCUGAAAACAAUAACUCUUCUCUUUUUUCCCUUCCCUACCUCGACUCUGGCUAACCUUACCUGGCAAACUGGAAUUAUUACUUUCUAGUUUAGAGCGUAGUGACCCUCUUCUACAGGAGCUCUUCCCACCUCUAUCUGACUUGCCGACCUAGACCUUACUUUAGCCUCUUCUUCUAGAACUCCCCUUUCUGACCCGAACUAAGUUAGAGAUUACUUGACUAGCUUCCUCUCCUCUGGCUCCGGCUACUAAUCUAACUCGACUCUAAGUUCAGAACAACUUCUAGCCUACCUCCCCUAUGACUACAAUAACUAUCCUAUGAUCUUGCUCUUGAAACUCACCACUCGAACAGGACUACUGGUGCCUAGUAGGGGUGAACCCAAAGCUAAGAAUCGAGCUAAGUAGUCAAAGAAUUGGUUGACUUACCGCAAUGCUCAUCUCAUAUAAGAAUCAGUCUUACCAGACACCGCUCUUCAGUCUGUUCCUCACUGGGUUCAUUCUGGUUGUCAGGUGUCUGAGUCUCGCUACCCGUGCUUUCAGGUUUGCACUCCUAGGUUUGGUUCUUAGAUGCACUGAUUGAAGCCUGAGCGGAUCUAGUUCCAUUUUGUAACUCCUUUGCUUGGUUCUUAGUAGCAGUGGUGUCAGUCUUGUUAGCACCGUAUUAAGUCUUAGAUGCAAUAAUAUCGGGCUUGGAAGCGGUGUUUUAAGGCUUGCUGGCACUGGCUUGAGUCUUUAACUACCUCGUUUAAGUCUGAGAUGCACCGGUGGGAGGCUUGGAAGCACUACUUUGAUUCCUGGAUCCACUGCUUUGGUUCUGUCACUCCUUAGGCACAUUCUCAGUCUACCUGGUUUCAUUCUGAUAUCGACUACUGAGCUGCUUUCUCAUCAUACUCUGGCUCUUCUCGAUUACUUAGUUAUUAUAUAUGGGCUCUCCUCUAUCUCUGGCAACAAAUACAGAAUUCCACCCUAAUGAAACAUAUACAAAGAAGUAGGGACAGACAACACCGACCCGUUGGAUUAGUGGAUUUGAGUCCGUUGCCUAUUGCCUAUCAACCAAAUACGGAUGAACUUCCCGGGCUGUGCUAUCUGAACUCAACUCUAUACUUCCCGCUGAAAAGCAAGUACUUGAUUCUGCUUUAGGGGCCGACCCAGACAUUCCUACUAGAACUGAAAGGGGACUGCCACGUAACACGAACAAAGGAACGAAAACAGGACUACCUGGCCUGGCAUCUCCUUCUGACGGAACUGCUUCCCACUAAAGUGAUUGCUCUGGACUACUCACUCUGGAUGUCCCUAUUAAUACUAAGAAUAGGGGCUAAUACUUAGAAUACAAAUACAGGUCUUCUACUCCUGAUAUCCCUUACCAAGUAGUAAACAAAGAAUGCAACUAGACACUCUAAACUCAACUUGAAACUUCACCUCGACCUACACUUUCUUAUGCUCCUCCACCUCCAUAAGUUAUCCAGUUAGGAGUUAGCGGUAUCAAAUUCCAUAAAGGAGUUAGGGGUUCAAAUACAAUACCGGUACCAGAGUUAUGAGUAAGGAGUGCGAUAUGUGUUAUAGGAGUUAGAAUACCAAUACAGAGGAGUCCUGAGUUAUGAGUUAUAUAUCAAAUAAGGUAUGGUACCUGAGUUAGGAGUUAAAUACGAUACCUGAGUUAGAUGCGCCGGGAGUUAGAGUGGAAUACCGGGUAGUCCAGCCCUUAUGUUAAUGGUUCUAGUUUGUGGAGUUAGAGUUUCAUCCCCAGUUGCAUAUCCAUCAUCUGUGUUUGUAGUAUACGCUUGGCCUGGAUAAUUGCCUGUUCCAGGUCUAGGUUAAGUAGAAAGUGGAGUUAUUGCCCCAACUAGUAGUAGAGUAAUAGAAUCAGUAUUAGCAGCAAUCGGGUAAGAAUUGAAAGGAUAGGUUUGGUCGGGUGUUCAAGGUGUCGGCUAGCAAGUUUCGGUAAGAGAAAGGCGUCUGAAGAUCGGUUAUUGCAUAGGUAGUGAAUUGUCUUCCGACCCCUCUCAUUCAAAAAGAAGUGUAGCCACUAAUUAGAGCUCCCUUAAGGCAGCGCGAUCCCAUUGGCUUUUAGGGUGAGGGACGAGCUUAAGACCUUUACUGGCCUUUUAAGAAGGAAGAGAAACAAACCAGUAUGUGAUGCCCCUUACACAUCGCAGUAAGGAGGAUCUGGCUAAACCUCUCUCAAAAGUCUCCAAGGCAAAGGUAGUCUAAAGCUAAAGCAUUCUCCUAGCGACCUACACUUUCUUUCCGGCUAACUACAACAUUACUAUGGAUUUUCUCGGCCCUACUUUCACCAAACUGUGCUUCCAAUCAAUUUCGAUAAGCUAAUCUACUUUCCAUAUUCUUCCCCCUCUGCAUCGAUGGGUUUUCCACUCGAGAUGGGUUUUUUAGAGAUAGGAGAAUUCCCAGACUGAAUGAAAAAAAGGGGGGUAGCUGAACCGGUGGCUUCCGAAGCGAAGCGUGUUGGCAAGACGUGCGAUCUAUUUGCAGCACGGGCAUAGUUUCAUUCUCCUUGUUGGGAAUCUCAGUCGCGAAGUAUAAGGUGGAAUAUUGGAUCCUGAAUGAUGAGGAGAAGCGCAUAUAGUAAGCGGUGAAGAGAAGCGCGCCAUAUAGUAAGCAAUCCGAAGAAAAGAAGAGAGUCGAUCGCUCUAACCGAAGAUGAUCGAGUAGGCAAAGUGAACUAAGGCUGAACUAAGUGCUUUUCCUUCAUUUCUUUUCUCGCGUCAACGUUCACCACUUCUUUUGGUGUAAGCAAGGCCUUAGUCUUCUCCGCUAAGUGCUUUCGCUUCUGUUCAUGCCUUUGAUGAGGCCCACCCGGCUCGAAGUCCGUGACCUAGAAAUUCGAUGCUGUGCACUAUUGCCAUAUCCUGGCUACCCGGGCCUUCACCUAGUACCGAGGGUGGAAAGCAGGCUGUCAAAAGAGAGAACUAGGUUGUAAGAAAGAAAGCUUAGUGCAGCGCCAAGUGCCUCGCUAGUGGAGCUAUAGGCGCUAAAGAAGCGGAUAAGGAAUCAGUUUCUUUAGUCAAAGAGUGAGAACUCCCUAACGGAGCUCAAUCUUCUUUUCGAUUCGACGAAAUGAACCGUAAGCCUUCUAGCCCCUUGUUCUUGAAUAUAGUUAGUUCUCUGUAACUAAUCUGGGUUGGAUUAAUAGGAUAGGAAUUCGGGGACUUGAUUCUUAAUUCGCAAGAGCUCCAUUCUAUACUAUUGUUUGAAAGAAUAGAAUAUUGUAUUGGGUUUUCAACGCUACUCCACUUCUUUUUGUCGAAAUGUAAAAGCUGCACAGGAUAGGGAGGCCGCCCCGUCCUCAAAGGAAAAGCAUGGAGAUCCACUCGAUUAUGGAAUGGUGUUAUGUUUUAUCGCUCAAUAAGGAGUACCUUUGUAUAUAUAAAUGUUUUGCUAAAGUGGUUGGUUCUUUUUAAGGCGGAAAGCAAGUCGAGACAAGAAGCACUGUCUCAGAAGCUAGCCCGAGCUACUGUAAUCCUUUGAUUUGAUAUGUAUGAGUGUACUGGUCCGGUGUUUCUGAAAAAAGAGAUGGAUGGGUUUUUUGGUGGCUGCGGUAGCCUUAACCAUCUGCACAGCUUUCCUCAUACUUCAAACAUUAAGGCAGAGAGAGUGAGUUUAGGAUAUAGUUUCAGAGAAAAGCGAGAGUGGAUGGAUAGGCAUAAUCAGAGGCAAGAGCUCUUCAGUAAUAAAAUCCGGGUGAGCGCACACAGCACAACUCCCCUUUUGGAUCAUUUCAGACUAGGCCAUAUAUUCAUUGAAAGGCAAAGCUAGACCAUGCAUUAUUGUUAGGGUAAAGAACCUGCGCCGACACUAAUCGCCCUAUACUUGCUACGCCUGCUUCGCUACUGAGAUCCCUAAACCAACCAACCGAGUUUGGUCUUGCUAUCACUUUUGAGGUUUCGAGACUUUAUCGCGUAUAGACGUUAUGCGCUUUCCCGCUCGACUCGCACAUAUCGAUUUACGUCCUAUUUCUUUUAUCCCUGCUGGCUCGAACUACUUUAGGAUUCCCUGUGCCCCUACUUUACAAGCACUUUAGGAUUCCCUGUGCCCCUACUUCACUUAAUAAGUCGUUUACGGAUUUCAAGAUACACAAGGAAGCGGAUCUACCUGCACGUCCGAAAGGAACCAAGAUCAAAAGAUGCGUCAUCGAGACCUGAAGACACCCGAGGAACGACUAUUCAAGACCACGCAGACCGACCUUUUGUUAGAGAAGAAGAGAGAGGCACGCUAGUGACAAGUAUCCCCACAGCAGCAACCUCUGAUCAAUCCGGGAAAGCGUCGCCCCUAGGGUUGGUGCGUGCUACACAGACUAGGAUAGUUACCGUAGCGAGCCGGCUAGACCGCACAGCUCCAAGCAAGUGGAUAACAGACGAGAGAUAUUGUCCUAACCCUGUUACCAGCCUUGUCCGUUUUAUGGUAGAGUUGUAUACCAAGAACGAAACCAAUCUCCAGCCAAGCAACGUAGUUAGACCAAGUCACUUAAUAAUUAGAAUAAUAAGAUCAAGAUGAGAAAGAGCCAAGCAACGUAAACAAAGGAAGAAAAGCAGACAAUAGAAUUCCACACUACUCUAUUCUUUUCCACACUACUCUAUUAUUCGACUUAUAUACUUACUGACUCAAAAUAGUAAAGGAGAGUUUCUAGUAUCUGUAUAAGAUGAAACUCCUAACAGAGAGCCAGCAGCUUGUUGAAAGAAGCCGAACACUCGCGGAUGAAACAAGGGUCGAUUACAUUGAGCUAUAACUGAAAGAGGAGACUAGGAUGAAACUAGGGAGAAAACAGGAAGAGCCGCAUAAGGUAGAGAAUUCCACUCCCGAACACAGGAGCAGACCCACUUUCCUACUCGCUCACCUCGCCUACGAGCUCACCUGGCGCAACUCUAACAUCAAUUUCAUCUUUUACUCAUUCACACCUCGUUUCAAACUUAUCGGCAUCCCGAGUGGAAUCUGUGUUUGUUGCUUUUGUCUAUAAGUAAUCAAGGAGAGUUUCGACAAUCAAAUCUUCUGCUUUGGCUUCUUCGUUCGAUAGAUUCAAUGUAAGUAUUUGUUGACUUCAGAUCCACUGUAAAGGCUUACACCCGUAGCUCGCGAGUUGCGUUAGGGCGUAGCUUGUUCCCUUUCUUGUUGCAUUCAUAUAAUCUAGCUUUACUCAUAUUAUAAUCUAGCUUGACUCAUAUAGAAUUAUGUAAACUCACUGGAUUGCUUCCGUAGCUUUUUCCCUUUCUUGUUCCGCAGCUUAUUCACUGUAAACUAUUCACUUACUACUAUCUAAAUAUAAGAUAUAUAUACUUGAGUAACCAUACUUCUGACUCCCAUAAGCGUUAGCGCCCCAUAAGAAAAGGGUACCUAGCGCCAGGUGCUCGAGUAAGAUCAGAAUGGAAUGUUAGAUGCUCCACUACUGAAGUCAUUACCAAGUCCUGUGUUUGGAAACUCAUAAUAUCUUUAUAGAAGAGAGUAAUUCAACCUACUCUCCAUCUGUGAUGAAACCGACUCUCCUGUACAAUCGACCCGGGUUAAGUGAAGGGCGGAAUGUAUUACUGGCAAAGAAGGGUAGCGCGGCGGUACACUUAAAUCUUGAUAGCCCAACUCAAUAAGCGGUCUACCUCAGUAUUGUUCCAGAAGCCGAAUGCAAGUAAACGGUGCACUUUUUCAUUGUUCUAUCGCCUAUAAUGUCAUUUGCCUAUUAUGUCUUGAACCUUACAACUGGCUCCGUUCUAUCUAUUACUGCUAAUGCUGCUGAUGCUUACUCUGUUGUGCUUGUUGAGUCAGUUAGCUUGAGCUUCAAGUCAGGAGUCAGUUAUGAGUCAGUUACUAGACCACCGAUUGCCCGAUAGAAGUCACUUUCCACUGAUUCCCUGUGCCUAGGUAUAAGACUCGGAAUUGCACUCAUAAGUCACAGCCUUGGUAUCAAUAGGUAUGGUCGGACUGAUCUGUUAGGUACGAGGUCAUAGGUGUAUAGGUAUGGGAGAGUAUCUAGUAUAACCCAUGUGUCUAGUUUAGGGGUAGGUUCGGGUGGUGAAGCGAGUAGUUAAAUAAAAGAAAUGGGAAGAUCUGAGAAAAACAAUCACUGAGAAAGAACAGCCAAGACACUACUCAUGUGUCGCGGCAGAGUUGCUAGUUUCCAGAAAAGUAGUUCGAAAUUACUACCCUUUUCCAGUACUCACUCAGUAUACAAACAGUAACAAAAAAGCACUAUCCAAAUCUAUCUUCUUUAUAUAGGAUGACUGCUCCUCAGCCUGAAACAAGGUAGUCAAAGAACCAAACAAGUGAAAAAGAAGCAGUUCUCAAGGUUAGGGUUAGGGUGAUUCCGAGUGUCGGCGUUGCGGGCAGGGAAGAAAUCAAUCCAUUGUUGCUAAUGUUGCUAGGGGAAUAAAACGACUGUUGCUAAGGUUUCUCCCUACUACUGGCUUGUUGAAGUCAGUUACUAGACCACCGAUUACCCCAGUAGUGAAUUACAGAGUGAAACCAGUGCAUCACAGAAUCAAACCACCAGGGCCCCUAACUCGCUACCGUUUAGCUCGGGCUCCUACCGCUGAAAACAUAGACUGUAAUAACUUCGUUAUGACUAUUAUUGGGCUGCCGCUACACAUUUGUAGUUACUUGGCCAGGUCAUCAAGGGGAGUUCAAGAAUCCGUUGUCAGAGUUUCAUCCCAUCCCGGUAGUCCAGGUAGUCCCGGUGAAAAGAAAUGAGAAAAUGAAAAUAAACCAGGUGAAAAGAAAUGAGAAAUCACAAAUAAACCAGGUGAAAAGAAAUGAUCAAAUGAAGCCAAGUAACUACUAAUGUGUAGCGGCAGUAACGAACACUAAUGUCUUCAAAGCAAGUACUUGAUUCUGAAACUGACUAGAAGGGCCUACCUCGAAUAAGUGUUAACCCCGACCCGAACUCUACCUGUUGAACCGCGUGAAUCCCGGUCGCCAACUCAUUCCCUUAUGGCUUCAAAGCAAGUACUUUAUGAUUCCACAAUAACUCUCCGGGCCAAGUAAGUACUAACCUAUCUUGAUGCCGAUAUAAAUAAGCCUUCUUGCCUUAUCUGUUAGGUACUCCAAUAGGUACUUCGGUAUUCAAACGAAGCAUCUUAUUCCAAUUCAGGUAAUAGAAAUAGAAUAAUACAGAGAGGGGAGCCCCUAUAUAACAUAGAAUCAUAAAGAAUCCCCUAUAUAACAUAGAAGAAGAAAGCCCCUAUAUAACAUAGAAUCAUAAAGAAAAGGAUCCCCCAUGGACCUAGUAAUCAAUAACUUCAGCAUUAGAAUAGUCGUUUUUGUUUCUGAAAGUCCAAGAUUAGUGCCUGGUUUCCUUGUAAACUCAAGUACUGGCUUGGCUUGUACUAGUUUCUUGUUCCUCACAACACUGAAGAAUAGAGUGGAGUGUCCACCUCCUACCUAUAGAAUGGAGUAACCUAACAACCAACCCUUUCCCUAAAACACUUGCUCAUUGCUAUUACUAUUACUCUCAUUGCUAUUACUAUUCUCAUGGCUAUUACUAUUACAAUUAUCAUUACUAUUACUCUCAUUGCUAUUACUAUUCCAAUUAUAGUACUAAAUUAGAUAAUUGCCCGUAGCUUGUUCCUGCUAAUGUACCUUGUCCCUAAAACUACAGAAUUGAACCAACCCAUACAUCUAAUGUUUUCUUUACCGCGGACUUUCUUUCAGCUUCUUUAUAUCAUAUUCCUUCUAUAAACUUGAAUCACUCAUAUUGACACCUUGAUCUCGGCUCUUCCCUAGGGUUAUAUAUUGACACCUUGAUGUCAGCUCUUCGCCACCUAGGUAUUCUUUUCAAGUGAACAAACAAGCCUACAGAGUGUUCAAGUAUAAAGUAAGAGUAUCGAGUGUAAUAAAGAAGCGAGAGUUCAAGCAGGGCUCGGGUCUCUGGCGCAAAAGGAUCCUGAAAUGCAAGCCUCAUGUUCUCUGGCGCUAAAGGGGUAUACAAUGGUCUCUGGGAGUGGUCCAGACUUAUAUACGCGGAAGUCCAACUUUUGCACUGAAGCAAGUCUUGGUUUCGGCAGUUUUGGGGGCGUAGUGGAACAUAGGUCAGUAGACGCAAGGAGGUAUACAAUGGUUUCCGUUAAGGCAAGGUAGUUCCGUUAUGGGCUUUCCCUAUCCCUAAUAGUGCUUAGCUUAGCCGAGCGAGUCAAUCAAACUCUCAUUCAUGAAUGUGACUCUUCGAUUUCUAGUGGAGCGCAUAAGUCAGAAAGGAUUUAAGUGCGGAAGAUCUGAUUGCUUGUUAUGAUGCUAUCUAUCUGAGGAAUGCCCCAUAACCAUAACCUCUAAACUCAACUGGAAUUUGAAGACCCGACAACAAGGAAGACGGAUUGCAAUUCUUAGUACGAUGAAACUCGAACAGGAAACCGAGUAUGAAGUACAACGCGGGCUCAACCAACACCUAUCUUUCUCUAACUCGGGUCAACUCCUCUUUAUGGUCAACACUUGAAUCACUCAUUGCCUUUCUUUUACUUCCAGCCUACAAGGACUUUCCAAGGAGGAGAUUUUGCUUCUUUCUCUAUAGAAUCCAAUUCUCACCCAACUCUAAUAAACGCUUGCUUUGACUUAGCGCUUUAUACAGUUCCUUGAUACAACACCUCAGCAUGAGAAAAGAGAUGAUCUUCCUGAUUCUAUAUAGGAAUAGGAUGAAACUGGCGCCUCGUAUACAAAGACUUGAACUUCCGUGGACUCUACGGAUCUCGCUGCUGCACUUAUCAGAAAUACUUCCUUCAUACUCGUAUCUCUUUGCUUUCUCGAACUCCCUAUGAUCCGUGUGCUGUGCCUAAGUUAACUCCAUUCAAUUCAUUAGAGCGAGCAGUAAACAGUGAAGAGCCAGCAAUAACAGGUAAGGAAGCAAGGGAACAAGCAAACAGUGACAAACAUCUCCGUAUUAGUAGACUCGGGGCAAUAUUCGAUUAUUGCAUUCCUAUCUAGCACUAUAUUCCAUUUGGUAGUCAAAAAGUGGUCCAAGUCACUUUGUAGCACAGUCGACUCAGGUACUAUUUUCCCUCUUCCUCCCAAGAUCAAGGUCACAUAUACUUUUGGGUACCAAGGCACAUGACCGAAAUCCAGAGGUUUGGGUCUGCCCUUGUGCUCUUUCAAGCGUAGAAAGUCAGAAAGAGGUGUCUGGUCUAUCAGUCCACAUGUCGAUCGCAGAGCCCACAUUUCUAUGCUCCUUCCCUUCCUACUGGAGAUUAUUUGAUUUUAGCAAAGAGCGAAAAGAAAAGGGUGAAAUAAAAGGAUUAGACUAUUGAUUUCGAAAGGAUCCCACGGCUAACGAGAAUUCCGCCUUAUUUCCUUGAACCUCGAUUAUGGCCUUCUCAAGCGCACUCAAGUAUAGUAUGGUGCUUGUUACUUUGCUUUAAGAAUGGAAUGGAAAUCGAAUAGUAUAUAUAGAAUAGUGAGUAAACAACACUGCUAACCUUAUUAUUGCUUGAAUACACACCUCACACUUGUGGAACGAAGGCACCCCGACACCCCCAAGAGUAAGCUAACGCUUAAGUAACAUAGUGGAAAUUCAAGUAUACAAUAGGCUUCCUUAAUUACUAAUAUCGGUGCUGGUUGCUCUGAUUGAAGCUUGAGUUUGCUAGCUCGAUGAACUAAUUAAGACACACCUCUCGUUGGUAACUACACUCCCAUUACAGCAUGUUCUUGCGAAAGGGCUUGUUGAAAAGAAGAGAGCUAUCAGGGCUUGUUGAAAAGAAGAGAGCAUUCCACCACAUAUAGAUAUUGAGUCAAAAACGGAUGGGAUUACAAGAGAGUAGCAGGUUUGAGUUAAGCUUACGAGAGUUCUUUCCUUUCGCACCCCGCCUGAACACAAAUAGCGUUAGUGCCCCGAGAGUUAUAGGUGUUCUGUUACUAAUGACAGAAGUCAAUAAGAAUGACAGAAGUCAAUGAGAAAGAGAGAGAGCUUGGGGCAGAAUCCCGAUUAACGUAAGCUGCUUGAUAUGGCAUUCCUUGGUUAUGGGCGGGCGAGU